UAUUUUCACCGCAAGAAAUCAAGAUGUACAAAAGGCAUGAAAUUUUACAAGAUUCAAAUUUCUAAAUUCACAAUAUACAAACAACUGCAAUACAUUCUCCUCGAUUAAACAAAACAUAAAAACAUAAAAGUAUCGAACUUUUUUAAAUUUUAUUGAAUAAAACGUACAUAUAUAUAUAUAUAUUAAUGGAACCCUAAUUUGUUCUCAAUAGCAAUGAAUAUAUCAAAUUACAACACAUGCAUAUAAUCAAUUUUCUGUAAUUUAUUUCUUAUUAAAUUGCAUAUAUCUAACAACAUGUCACAUGUCACGUGUCUUGCAUUUACAAUGAACUCACAAAUUAGUAAAGCCUAAUUUGUUUGCAAAAUAAUUCAAUUCACAUAAUUGAAACUUACAUUUACGCCACUUUAUUUUCUCACCAUUGUUUUGUUUUGUUUUGUUUUUUUUGAACUGUGUAAGAAUCAUAAUAAAUAAAUAAAUAUGUAUAUAUAUAUGUAUAUAAAAAGAUAGGCAAUUGUAAAAAUCAAUAAUCACAUUUUUAGAGUGUGAAAUGUAAUAAAAAAUACUCCAUUCAACUAUUGGAAGGAAAACAAUAUACUAUGCAUCAUUAACAAACUAUCAGCAUCACGCACAUCGAUAUAUUAACAAAAUAAUAAUAUUAAUAAAAAUAACAAAGCUUCGAAUGAAUCACUAGUUAUUAAUACUUUUUUCACGAGAUACAACAUACAAAUUUAAAUAAAAAAUGCCACUUAGGGCUCAAUGAGACACAACCUACUCCACCCAACUGAGAUUCCACAACCGCCGGGAACGCUGCACGGGAACUCCAGGGGAACGCGAUUGGAAAUCCUUCAGGCGCUUACCUCCAAAAUGCCGUCGCCUUGGCGGCCGGUGAUAACGGAUUCUUUUUCCCCCUAAACCCACUGCACUGCCCUUCACUGCUGCCCCCAUCCGUAGCCCACUCUAGCCACCUCAUGGGCGAAGCCCGCGGCGGACCAUUCCCACCAAGGCACCUGCCCAAUAGAUCCGGGCAACCACACGGGCUGCCCGGAGAAGUUCGGAGAAGGAGCAUAAAAAGCACCAAGCGGUCACGAAGAUGUUUUCUUCCGUUCCACACACAUUGUCAGGGCCUCUGCAUACCACGCCUCGAGCCACUUCGAUUUUUCCCUCCCUUCGCCGGCCGAUUUCUUGCUUAUCUUCCUCCUUGGCCUAAUUCCUCCUGCCGGCCAUCUUGUGCGGUAAGUGCGCACCUCUUCCCCGAUAUUUCUUCUGCGUUGUCCCGCUGUAGCAAUGUUGGUCUCGCGAGUGAGAGGCGUCGCAAGAUGUUUGCAAAGCACGAUUCUUAACAUGCAGUUUUUAAAGGUUAUCACACUUCGAAGUUAUGGAUCAAUAUAAUAUGCGUUCAUCCCUUGUGCUGGUUUACACCGUAUUUGACAUGUAGUGUGUGUGGGGUCGAUUGAAAGUUUGUUGUCGUCGACCACUGUUGAGCGUAUUUUGAAGUAUGGGUCGCGGUGAGUUUGAAACUCAUUCAGAGGAUGUCUUUUCCUGAGUAUCAGCAGCGGUAUGGCGCAGUUUUUUUCUGCGUCUUUAUAUGUUCCCCAGUCUCUAUGAAACGCGGAGUGAGGUGUAUUGUUUAGUCAGAAGCAGAGGCUAAUUGUCAUCUGGACUUGAGGGGCGCAUGGAUUUCGUGAGGCUCGUCUCAUGUGUGCGUCCCCAUUCGGAAUUUCUCAAGAAGUUAGGCUGGUGAGUAUUGCCCACGCUGGGUCUUGCCGAUGAAGCGGUGAAGGCAGGUGCGCGUGGGUGACCGAGCUUGAAUCGCUUUUUGUCAUAGGUCCCGCAGGCCUUGUAUGGUACGUGAAGCAUAGGAUCUGCAAGGUUAUGAAGGGUGCCUGUUUCAGUGAAGACCACAUUGUCUUCUUCUCUGCCCCCAUCCCCUUCCCAGAGGAUACUAUAGUACGUACCCAAGAGUGGGAAAGAUUCUCGCAGUGCAACUCGCCUUUGCUUCACUCUUCAUCCAGUUGAUCAACUAUGUUCCGUACGUAGAAUCGGAACCUGUGCUCGCAGUUAUGACUUUUACAUUGCCCUUCUCUGAUGUGUGGUUAUCAAGCGAUAUCCGGCAGUUCGAUCAAAAGUUAGGUCUAGCCCGGACAUUUAGAGAAUGUGUGUUGACGGAUGUCAAGCUUUCAUUUCAGAAGAAAGAUCUCGGUUCCAUCUUAUGAACGAUUGUAUAAUGGUUUAUCGGCACCUCUAUCACUAAACAACUUACAUAGUUUAUGUCAUAGCCGCCAAGUGCAUGCUAUAUGCUCAGAAGCGUAAGCAGAGCUAGUUGCAGAUUUAAAUUAGUCAGAAAGACCUGGACAGUUCCCUUCAAUUAUUUAAUGACCAUCGUCCUCACCAACAAUACGUGCGCCUGCCUAUACAACGCUGUGCCUGUUGAUGCAGCCAUGAUCAAGAAAGGAUUUCAGCAAUAAAUCUGAUGUACGGUCUCUGGUCCUUUUGCAGGAUCAUCUUACCGCACACUUGUAUAUACAUGAGGCUGCUGUACAUGAAGAGUUUAAUUUUGUACACAUACACCCACGGUGUCUUUGGACUUGGAGCAAUAUAGGUUUUGGAAGUUGUUGAAACUGGGAAUGCGGUAACGUGCUUGGGUAAGAGUGAUAGACUGAAGACGGGGUUCGUUGGGGCUGGAAGCGCACGAAUCAGCAAAACUGGAGAUCGCAAGGAACCUAGGUGGUGUCCAGCACCUGGCUGGGGCCUGGAACUCGUUGGAGAGCCGUCCAGAGAUGAACGAGAGGAGACGACCUUUGUCGGGAUUUCGAGUGGAGGGAAACGAUGAGGAGGUGAUUUGUCCGAAACCGCGGCGACCAACGAACGUGUCGUGUCCUGUAAACGAGUUGAUGAAGCCUCCAAGGCGGCGACGAGGGUACGUGUGGAGCAUGUGUGGUUUGGUGUGGGUAACAUGAUAGGAGAGGUGGUAUUGGGGUGUAGCGUGGUAUGGGGAUGGAUAGAGUGUUGUAUGGGGCGUGGUGCUGUGACGGAACAUGAACCGAGUCGUGGUGUGCUUUGUUGUGGCGGUUGCAGUCAGGCGACGGUGCGAACAGAGGGAGAUGCGGGAUUUGAGUUAUUGGAUAUACUUCUGAGCAAGGUGAGUGAUCAGAGACCGGUGCGGUGUGGAUUCGGGAAUGCGGCGGCGUGCCAUUGCGGUGGGGGGUUUGUUGUAUUUUGUGUGUGUGUGUGUGGGGGGGGGGAUGAGUGGUAGUAACGGGCGUGUUACGUGGUUUUGGGGUAGUUGGGGCAGCGGUGGUACAGGAUGCGGGGUGGUAAUGUGUGGGCGUACUGUGGUGCAGGGUGGGUGUGGGGACGUAUCGAAUUUUGGGUGUUCGCCGCCGUACUUCUGCGGGUCGCCUCCGAGUCGGUCGGGGAAUCCGCUGAUUCACGACGUGCAGUUCCUGCAGAGAGCUCAGUCGGUUCUGUCGCAUCAGGUGUCGGGUCGCGGGCCGACGUCUUUCGGCGGGAAUCCGAUGGUGCGAGUGGAGGGGUUUGCGUCGGGCGGUGCGGACUCGCGGUCUCGAGUAUCGGCACUUGCGUGACGGUAGGGUGGGGGUGGAAGUGGAGACGUUGUAGGUAGCGAGAGAGAAAGAGAGAGAGAGAGAGAGAGAGAGAGAGAGUGUGAUAUUGGAGAAGGCGAUGCCAGUGGGAGGGCGAAUAGAUUUUUGGUAAUGAUUUUGUGACGCUCCAAACGCGGUCAGAUGAAGUCGAAGGUGCACACAGCGGAAGCGGUGCUGGGUGUGCACGAGACGGCCCAGAGGAAGUUCGAGGAAUCAGGUUUGACUGAUUUGGAGGUUGGACACGCGCGCAGCGGUGUAGAGGCGUGGUCGAAGGAUCCUGGGGGAGGUGGCUUUUUUUCGAGUUUGGAGAGUAUUUUUCUUUUUAUACUUUUUUUAUAGAAUAUUUUUUCGCAUAGUUAUUUUGGAAGUAUUUUCUUGGUGACUUUUUCUUGAAAAUUGGAAAGAUUUGAUCCCUGUACACAUGACGGAGCAGAUGUAGUGAGACAGUUUAGCGAGCAGCGGCGAGGAAACCAGGAAAUCGGUUGAAAGCGCCAUGAAUUGGUGCGUGGCACAGCCCAGCGUGUUGGGUUGAGUGCAUGGGGAGAGAGAGAGAGAGAGAGAGAGAGAGAGAGAGGGGGAAUUUCCGGAUAUAGUUGUUCAAAAUUUUGACGGCGUUUAGUUCUGUACAUACACGCGACCCUGUAAUCUUACUGUAAGCGUUUCCCAUUGGGUGUGUCCAUGUAAUUUACGAGCCCUUUGACGAGGUGCAGCCUGUACUACAACAUUUGUGCAAAUAAAGCGUCCAUUACCUUGAUGAAGGAGUUGAGGGGGAAGGGGGUGUGUGGGUGCGGGUUGCGGCAAUGUGUGGGAAUGUUGGUGGGAUGUGCGCAUGAGUUGAUGUGGAGUGGGUUGUUGAAAGGUGGGUGUGGUGGUGAGAGGAGUGUAUAUGGCGAGAGGCGAGUGGAGGUUGGGUUGGGUGUGCGAGAUGUAGACGUGGGUGGCGGUUGAUGCGGCUGUGUUGGGAAGUAGGGGAUGGCGGUGAUGCGAGUAGUGUGUGGUCCGCAUGCGCAGGGCUUGCUGGGCAUCUUGGGAAAGGGCAGUAGUCGCGAAGUCUUCGUGUUGUGUGUUUGGUUCAGAUAAUUGUUAGGUGUCACUGAACUGUUGGGAAGUUGAUGUGGUAUGUGUCCAUCACGAUGGUCGAUCGCACUGAUUACCGAUGGUGUGGAACUGAAACAUUUUUGCAUUUCCUUCGCAUGAAGCACAUUACAUGCUACGAAAUGUGGGUUUUCAUGAUUGGAACUAGAGUUAGCAAACUGAUGCGUUAAAUCAUCUAGUUUUAGUGUGUUUUUAAACAAAUUUUAGUGUGACGUUUAGCUUGACGUUUAGCUUGACGUGUAGUUUCAAGAUUUGUACUCAAUGUUUUGAAUUUUGUAAUCGUCCUAUUAGAAUCCAAUAUUGUGUGAAACGAAAGGAGUUCAGAAACUCGGACUUGUUUUGUGUAUGAUUCUUUUGGGACGGUAUUUCACUUUUGAGGGAAUGAUAGUGCACAUUCACUGGGCAUAUGUUAUCACCAGUGUAGUUGUUUGUCACAUUGGAUUGUCAUUUGCAACUUACAUGACUUGUAUGAUUUGGUAAUGGUUGUGUGACUAAUUGAACUUGGUCAAAUGUUUAAUUUGUAGUUGUGUGUCAAUAAAUACACAAAUACACACUGUGAGUUCACUCACUGCAGUUUAAUAUAGUAUUUCAUUAUUUUUAAGGAUUAUAGUCUUAUAUUUGAAUAUUUGGCAACUUGGUAAUGUAAUCAACAUCUUGAAUAUUGAUUUUCUUUGUGAUUUUGUAGUGGAUCUUUUAAAUAUGACAACAAAAUAAGUAUUUUAUAUAAUUAUGUCUACCCAAACAAUCUAAGUAUAAAUUUUAAUAUUUUUUUCUUUCUUUUUUCUUUUUAAUUUAUUUUGCAUUCUUUUGUAUAUUUUUGUACAAUUAGUAAUUAGAUUUGAUUUCAAUAUUAUAAUAUUUGGAUUAUAAUCCAAUUAAAGUAAUACUAUUAUUUAAAAAGAAAGAAAGAUUAUAUAUAACAAUGUGCAAUAAGUCUUUGUACUCAUGUUGAUGAAAAACAAGUCUGCUUUGGUGAGGCUCACAACCACACACAAUCUCAUGUAUUCACAAAAUUUAGAAGACCACAAUAGUACCAUCUAAGCUUCACUACCAUUGACACACACAAGCUCAUGUAUUCACAAAAUUUAUAAGACCACAAUAGUACCAUCUAAGCUUCACUACCAUUGAGUGUGACCUCCAUAUGUACUAAAAAUUGCAUGCAAUCUUCUAGGCAUUUCAUCUAUCCAUUUAUCAAUAGUGCCAUGAUCAAUGAGGUUCUAUUUGUCAUGUGCCACUUCAAACAAUUGUAAGGCAUCAUAAGGUCUCUCUCUCUAUACAAGAAACACUUUUUAAGACAUUGUUUGAGAAUCAUCCAACAACUUUCAAUUGGGUUGAGGUCUAGAGAAUUGGGUGGCCAAAGUAAUUGUGUAUAAUUACAUUUUCUCUAGAUUCUCACGUUCUCAGGCCCUUGGUGCAAUCUUACUCCAUUUGCAACUAGAUAGAUAUGACUUGUCUCAUUGCUUAGAUUGCAAAUAAAAGAAAUAAUGUAAGGUUUGUAUAAAUCUUGGGCAAAAUGCACAUCAUUGGAGCCAAGUCUAUUGCGAGGAGUAGUACACUCUUUCUUUGUUUUCUUCAUCACUAAUGCUACUAUAGAACAUCUUUUUGUAAUGCAUGCAAAAAUUCCAACAUUCUUCUUCCUUGACUUAAAACUAAGUUUCUUACUUUGACAUAUAUAGACCUUCUUUCUUGCAUGACAUGAAUCAUAGACUAUAGUGGCCUUUUUGAUGAAACAAAUUCUAGUCCAUUGCUUCAAAUUCCAUCUACGACUUUUAAAAGCAAAUUCUCUACGUUUUUCUUUUUGUCUUGAUAUCUAGUAGGAUUUUUUGCAAUAGAAUCUAUUAAUAGAAAAAAUCUUGCAAAUACUCGAAAAAGAGAGCCCAAUAUCUCCUUUUCUUACAAUCUCUUUCAAAGAUAAUAUAGGAUCCUUAUUUAUCACCUCAUCUACUAUACUUCUUACAAUCCUUGUAAUUUUUUGCAGACAACCUUUAUAAAGAGCAUCUCCAUUAUGAUCCUCCUAUAAAUCUCUUUUCUUCACCACCUCUUGAACUCUUGACUUUCCUACCUCCAAAGCCUUUGCAAUCCUUCUAUAACUCCAACAUGCUACAUUAUAGAGGGUGAAAAUCUUCUUAUUCAAUUCUUUUCUUGCAUCUCUUUGGCCAUGUAAAGGUGCCAUUAUAAAGACAAUUAAUUAUACUAAUUCAGUUGAAGGAGAUACAAGGACUUAUUGCACAUAAUUGUAUAUAUUAAAUUAUUGAUCAUAUAUAAAAAAAUAAAUUUAUAAAAAGAGACACAUAAUGCUAAGGUUAAUAUGAAAUAAUUUAAUAAAGUUUUUUUUUUUUUUUUUUUUUUUUUUUUUUUUUUUUUUUUAAUCAUAUUGUAAUUAUUGGUUUUAAAAGAAUCAAACUCUCAUAUAAAUAAUUUGAUGAAUGGUUGUUGCAAUUAGAAAAAGACAUGGAGGUAGUUAUAGAAUGAAAAAGAAUUUAAAAAAUAAAAGAAGAGAUUUUUAUUUUUAUUUUUUUAAUUCUAUUGAUAAUCAAACUUAAAAAAUAAAACUUAAAUAAUGUUAUAUCAUUUGUACUAUUAUCCAUAGAUAAGUCUUUAUCUAUGUUAAGCUUACAAUUUUAAGUUUGAAUUUAAUAUAAUUUAGAAUCUAAAAUCAUUGAAUAAAAUGAAAGAUAUUAAAAUUUGAAUGUGAAUCUUUUAAAAAGAUUUAUUAAGUAAUUAUUUUUCAAAGUGGCCUCAAAAGUUGCAACUAGCUUGAAUAAAGUUUUAGCAAAAGAUAAAAAAAUUAUGACUUUUUAGAACCUAUGUUUUGCUUGGAUCUAAAAAUAAGAAAAUAAUUCAAACUUGAUGUAGAAGUAAUCAAUUUCAUAACCAAGAAGAAGAUGAAUAUCUUAAUUAAUUACCACAACUUAUCUAUUGAGUGUUAUUUUUUUUUGGCAACAAAUAAUCAAAUAAAAUAUUAUUGAAAAUUAACUAACAUUAAGUUUAAAAAUCCAUGAUUGCUGAGGAGAAGGAAGUUGGCUCAUAAUUCUAGUGUUAAUCAACUAAAUAAUUCAAACAUAGUAUUUGCCAUAAUCUUGUAUUUAUACUUUGUCAAUGAUAAAAGAAAACAAACAAAUCAAUUCAAUGAAGAAGGUAAUAUUUUUAUUACAAGUCUGAAAUAAAUAAAAAUAUAAGAAUAAUCACAUCAAUCUUACAAAAGAAGGUAUUUAUUAACCUAGAAAUAAUUUAGAAAAUUUAAUUUUUAAUGUUAAAUAAAUAAAUAAGUCAAAGUCAAAUUCUAAUAGAGAUAUAUAAUAUAAUAAAUAUUUUAUAAAAAAUAAACUAUAUUUAAAAUAUAAUUAACUAUUAUCAAAUAUUAUUUUAAAUGUGCAAAUAAGAGCUUUUAUAAAAAAAUAGAAGGAAUAUAUACUAAAUGUUGUCAAAUUGAAAGAAAGACAAUGAAAAAAGUGUGACUAGAAUAUAAAUUGCAUAUAUAUAUAUAUAUAUAUAUAUAUAUAUAUAAAUAAAAAUACCACCUUCUAAUUAAUCAAUUGUAAAAAUAUUCAAAGACACAUGGAAUUAUUAUUAAUAGUCCUACUAAUGUUACAACCUUAAUUUUAAGAAAUAAUAUAUAAAUGUAUGAAAGCUUAUUUUUUUUAUGAGUAGAUAAAACUAAAUAAAUGCUCCUAGAAGACAUCAACAAGAUUAUGUAAGCUUAUUUGUUCCAAUUUAUUUGUGCAAAAUAAAAAAUAAAAAAUAAAAUUCCAAAUUAUAAUUAACAAAGAACAACCAAGAUUAUUUGUAGAGAUCUUAAUAAACUAAAAUCUCAACUUAAUAUCCAAUAUAAAAUAAUGCUAUAGAAACUAUAGUAAUUUAGAAAUAAGAAAAGAAAAGAAAGAUUUGAUUAUGUGUUUGAAAGUACUAGGAUGCAGAUAUAAAACAUGAUUCUUUACAACUUAAAAAUUCCAAAUAAUAGAAUAGAGAUGAAUUUAGAAAAAAUCAUUUUGCUAAAGAUAAGAUUUGACAUGCCCACACUCCCUAAAUAAGAGUCUUUAUAUAAAAACCAUAAAUGUCAAUUUUCACGAAAAUAGAGUCAAAUAAAUAAAAUGUUAUUAUAGAUAUAUAUUAUAACACUAGUAUUUACUUAUAUAAAAAAAAUAAAAUAGAAAUAAGUAUAUUUAAUAAUAUCUUGUAGAAAAGCUUUUUAAAAGCUUCAUAAAUAAAAAUUUAACUUUUUAAGUAUAUAUGGUGAUUAUUAAAUUGAAAACUUGGCCAAUAAAUUGGUUAUUUGUUGCACAUGACCCCCCUCUUUUCUUUCUUUUUUUUGUGCUCGUGUAGAGAUAACACGGACGAGUAGUUCUGUAAACGGUGGCCCCCGCCCAGCACUCGAAAGCUAAUGAUGUGUUUCUUAUCAUCCAAAAUCUCGAGGCGCUAACUACUGCAAGCGGUGGAGACACUGGAGACUAGAUGGACCUCCCCGAUGCUUCCCACACCAUCAUCGCCUUCAAUGAACUUACAAGUUGAAUAAAACUUUUGUAAACCUGAGGCUUGUCGAAACUGCGCACAAUCGCCCACACGAUCCGCAACGACACCUUAAUUUGUUGCAGCAGUAUGCGCCGCACUGGAGAGCCUUCAACUUGUGAGUAUGGUAACGACAUAGUAGAUCCUGCUGUGCCUCUAGCAUCCUUUGGAAAUCCUGCCGCCCCUUUACCUGCUGCACCAUACCAAGUGCUCUCAUCGGAUGUGUCGUGGUUGUAGUGGUAGUCGUCUUCGACUGCGGCUGGCUGCUCUCAGCACCGACUCUUUUUAUUAAAAUGCUCCCGACCGAAGAAGGCACCGAUUUGACGCCGCUGCCAUAUGACGACGACGACGACGCAGUAGCCUUGCCAGGGCGUAGUUUACGUGGCACAAGGCGUACUGUGUAGGAGAGGGCCCACAGAUUUCUAACACAGACGUAGGUUGGGUAUAUUUGAACUUAAAAGAAGAAUUGUGAUAUCUUAUCAGAUUGAAGGAUAUAUUUGAUAUUAUGACAAAACUGAGGGAUAAAUUUGCUAUUAAGAAGAAUACAUGGAUAUUUUUGAUAUUUCAACAUAUUUUAGGGGUACAUAUGAUAUUUUUUUUUUAUUAUUAUUGUGUUAUCAUGGUAGAACUUGUUGAAAUAAAGGGUGCAAUUGCAAAAAUGCAUGAGCAAUUAAAGGAUUUAAUGCUUGCAAUGUAUCAAUUCAAUUUACCACCACAUAGAGCAAUACAAUUAAUUGGAAGUAAAGAUAGAAAAAUAAUUGGAAUUACUUCAUCAUUUACACCAAAUCAUAUUACUUCUUUUAUAGUGGAGCAUUAUUCAAGCAUUAGAAAACUAAAAAAAUAUUUACUUAGGAAGUUUGAUGGUAUAAGAUUAAAGUUUCAAGGAUUUAUCAAUCAAAUACAAUUGGUGAUUAAGCUUAAAGUUAUCUAAUCCCAAGGUCACAAGUCAUGUUUAUUAAAAUAUUGCUUUUAGGUCCAUCUUUAUCAUGGAUUUUAUCUUUUUUUGAAAAAAAAGAUUUAAUAUUGGAUAAUUUAGAGGCUUUUUUGGAAAAUUUUUGAUCUAUGUAUAAAAAAUAUGAUGUAAUUUAUGUUGCAACCAAUAAGAUUUGUAUUUUGUAUAAAGACAAUUAUUUAGUUUUAUUAUAUGCUUUAGAAUUCCAAAACUUAUAAUUGAUAUGAAAUAAAAAGAUGUUGAAUUGAUCAAGCAAAUUUUCUAUAAAUUAUAAUAUGAAAUAAAGAAAUUGAUGCUAAAUUUACAUAAUCUUCAAAUUCUAAGUCAACCAAUUCAUUUUACUAUAAAGUGUGAUAAUGAAUUUUUUGAAUUUCAAUAUAAAAGCUUCACAUGUGUAUCUUAAUGUCUUUAUAAUUUAAUGGAAAUAUAAAUAUCUCUUUAAUACAUAUAUUUGAAAAUAGAAGAUAUAUAAAUUAAUAUAGUAUACUUUAAAUUUUUUAUUAAACAAAAAAAGACUUGAUGUUAUCAAAAAAUAUUGUGCUUAUAUUAUGAAAAACUCAUGUAUACUAUCCAACAUUAUUCAAAGAAGCAAUACAUCUACAAAUAAGGAGUAUGGUUGUCAAAGAAGACAAUGUGUUAGAAAACAAGUUUGUCAAGCUAUAAUAGAGAUUGUGCAAUUGAAAUCUUGUGUAAUAUAUAGUGAAGAUCCUAUUUUCAUUUCAAAAAAGACUUCAAAUAAUAUUCUAAUCAAGUAUAAGAAAUUAUCAAGAAGUUUUUGAGAAGAAAAAUGCAUAUAUUAUUUCAGAGUAUCAUCUUUAUGAUUGUUCAAUUGAUCUUUAAGAAUUAGCUCAACUACCAUUUGGAUUAAUUUAUAGCUUAUUAAAAAAUGAUUAAACUUCAUUCAAAGAAUAAAUUAAUGAAAACUUGGCAAAGAAUUUUAUAUGCUAUUCAAAAUCUCUAAUAGGAUCUUCUAACUUUUUUAUAAAGAAAAAAGAAAAAUUACUACAAAUAUGUAUAGAUUAUUAAAGAUUUAAUAAUAUUAUCUUAAAGUAUAGGUAUUAUCUAACUUCAAUAUCAAGAGUUCUUGGUGAAUUGAAUCAAACAAAGAUCUGCAUCAAAAUAGAUCUAUAAAAAAUAAAACAUUUGAUAUAUAUUAAAGAAAGAGAUGAAUUAGAGAUGCUAUUUUAAAUCAAGUAUGAAUAUUUUGAAUAUAAUAUCAUACUUUUUGGACUCACAAAUGUGCUAGUUAUUUUCUAAUAUUUAAUAAAUUUUGAUAUUUGAAAAUAUUUAGAUGAUUUUAUUGUUUAUUAUUUAGAGAUAAAAUUUUAUCUUUUUAGUAUUAUAAAUAUAAAAAAAUCACAAAUAAUAAUAGAAAAUAUAAUACAAUCUUUACCAAACCUCAUUUUUUUAUAACCAAAAUUUAUUUGAUUCUUUAUGUUAGUUAUGAAAGAUGUUAUCAAUGAAAAGUAUUAACUUUUUUUUAUUACAUAUACAAGAUUCUUAGAUGGCUUCUAUGUGUAUUUUUUAAUUUUAUAUUUUUUCUAAUGCACAAGAUAUUUUAACCUAUUUCAAUAUUGAUUUAAGUUUAAGACUUCUAUAAUAUCACAUCUUUAUUAUUGUUCAUUUUUAAAAGAAGUGAAAUUUGUCUUUUUUUUGGUAUAUCUACAAGCUUAUAUAGCUUAAAAAGAGACCUGUAGAAUAUAUGAUGGAUUAUUAUAGAUUUUGGUAGGUGUAAUCAAUAAGCAAUUAAAUUGCUUUCUUUAUAAAUUAGAAAUGGUUUAGGUCUAUAAUAAUCUAAUUUAUCAUAAGAACAACUAGUCUUGAUCUUAUGAUGAAGUAAUCAUAUUUUGUUGCUUUUAUGAAAAUAAAGUUAUUUUUUGCAAUAGAUAUUUGUUGAUCUUUUGUUUUUCUUGAGCUUUGUUUAAUUGAAUAUUUAUUAUUUCUUAUGGCUCUAAUAAAAAAAUUACCAAAUCUUUCAAUGUAGGAUUGUCAACUUUUCAAAAGUUAAAGAUAUGAAGUUUUUGAUGAUAAUCAGAAUUAGCAAAAAAAAGUAUUUAUUGAAUAGAAAAAUAUAUUAUAUUAUUAUUGAAAAACUUUUUUAAUAGAAAAAAAUUAUCUAAUCAUCUUGGUAGUAGUUAAUGACAUAUUUCAAAUAUUCCUUCAAAAUUUGAUUUACUUGUGAUUGUCCAUUGAUUUAAGGAUAGAAAAUCAAAGAUAGUUUUAUAAUUACCUUCAAUAUCUUAAAAAUGGUUCUUCAAAAUAUUGAUGAAAAUUGAAUUCUUCUAUUUGAUAUAAUAUCCUUAAUCAAUCCAUGAUAGUAAUAAAUAUUGCUAAAAAAGGUUUAGAUAUUUUUAUAUCUAUAAUAAAUUUUGUAAAUUAUAUAAAAUAUAUAAUCUUAUUGAAACCAUCUAGUAUCACAAAUAUAAAAUCAUAUCAUCUUGAGAUUAAAAGAUUUGUGAUAAAAUCCAUAGAAACAAAAGACCAUAUUUUUUUUUGAUAUUUAGAAUCACUAAAAAAGUUUAUAAGAUCAAUGAUUAGGAAUUUUUGAUUUUGAACAAAAAAUUAUGCAAUUGUAUAAAGAUUUUGAGUGCCUUCCACAUUUAAAGCUACCAAAAAUUUCUUGAUAUUAAUUCCAAGGUCUUGUUAUAAUCCAAAUAUAUUACAAUUAAAAAAUCAUGAGUUUAAAAAACUCUCAAAGAACAUCAUUCAUAAGAUGUUAAAAAGAAGCUGGUGUAUUUUUGAGCCCAAGAGCCAUAACAUUAUAAUCAAAAUGCACAUACUUGGUUUAAAACAUAGUCUUGUAUUUAUCUCUUUAUUUAAUUUGUACCAAAUUAUAUGCUUGUUAUAAAUCUAUUUUAGUUUAUAUUAUUAUUUUAUUGAAUUGAUCUCAAAGUUUUGAUAUCAAAGAUAGAAGAUAUGUAUUUGUAUUGGUAAUCUUAUUGAGUUUUCAAUAAUUUAUAGACAUUUGUAGUUAUUUAUUUAUUUAUAUUUAAAAAUAAGAUAAGAAUUAUCGCUAAAGAUUUUGAAUGAUAUAUAAAAUUUUUAGACAAGUUCUUGUUAUUAUAUUCUUUGAGUGCAUCCAACUUAUUUUGAAAUAAAUUAUAGAUGGCAAUUAAGUUCUUUCUUAAAAAUCAAUUGAAUAAUCUUAAGAAAAAUGUUUUAAAAAAAUAUCUACUUAUUGGUUUUAAAAAAAAUCUUAAUAAUCUUGAUACUUGUUUAGAAUUCCAUUUAAAAUAUUUUUUUCCAUGAAAAAUAGGUGUUGCAUAAAUAUCAAAAGGUGGCUUUUCUUUUGUAAUAUGCAUAAUAAUUCUUUCAUAUAUCAAUAAGGAUUUGGUUAUAUUUUACUUUUGACUUUUUACUUUUAUAAUAAAGUUUUGAAUUAUGCUUUAGAAAUAAUUAAGUUUAUAAAAAAUAAAAUCUAUUCAAAGAUUAUACUUUUUUAGCUAAGAUAAAUCUAAAAUAAUUGAAUUGGAAAAAAAGAUCUAAUUAUAUGAAAUAUUACUAAGCUAUUGUAUUAGUUAAUUAUUAUAUCUAAAAAAAAGAUUUUCAUAGAUAAUAUUUCCAAAAGAUAGCAAACAACUAUCUAUAACUUUUACAUGGAUGGACUUAGUUUUUUUGACUAAGAAUAUUUUCUAUUUUUUUUAAAAGUCUUUAUUUAUAUAAAAAAAAAUUAUGGAUUUUGAAUCUACAAAAGCAAAGACUUUGUAAUUUUUUGGUCUUAAAUAAAUAUAUAUUGUAAAAUAAGGUGAAGACUCUAAAAAAAAAUAAGACCUUUAUUAGAUGUUGUUUAAGAAUCCAAAUGUAUAGUCUUUAUUAUAAUUAAAAAAAUUAUUUUUUAAAAUAUUGUUUUAUUUGGUAAUUAUAUUCUUUCUUUUUUAAUUGUAUUGCUUCUUAAGAUAAUAUUUAAUAGUAUGCUUAGGUUUUUCAUAACAUAAGUACAAACCUUUUUUUGACAACAUUGAGUCUUUUUUCACUCAGUAAAGGAUUUGAAAUAUAUUAUAUCUAUUUGCAUAGAUUCUUACUUUGAUAAAUAAGUUAAUAAAAAUUUAAAAAUUACCAUUAUGAUUUAAUUUAUUUCUUUUCAAUCACAUCUUUGUUCUUAGAAUCUUCUAAAAAGUCAAUUAUUACAUACAAUGGUUUGAGCAGUAAAUUAUUUCAAUGAAUCUAUUCUUAACAUAGUUAAUAACAAAUUUUGGACAUUAUCAUUUAAUCCAAAAGAAAAUUUAAUGAUAAAGUCUUUAUCAUUCUAAUUAACAUUAUAAGUAAGAUUUUGGAAUUUAACAAUAUAUAUAAUGACUGUAUAUUAUCUUUAGUGUAAAGAUAAGAGUUUGGUCUUUAUUACCUUUUUUCAAUCAGUUUCUCCAAAUAUGGCCAUGAAUACUUUCAAAAAUGAAUUUAGAUCAUAAAAAUAUUUUAGAUCUUUUUCCAUCAAAAGUAUAAAUUAAAUAAAAAUACUUUCUAAUAUAAAUGUACAUAUAAAUCCAACUUAAGUAAAUCCAUUAAUAUAUUAGAAAAAAUACAAUCAUUGAUAGAUUUUCAUUUGUUGUAAGAAUCUUUAAAAUUUUGAUCUUAUUCAAUCAAACUUUUCUAACAUACCUAUCCUCACCUCUUUCAUAUUUGUAAUAGUAAGACUUCUUGCUUUCAAUUGUGACAUUGAUCUAUUUGCUUCUUUCAAUUAUGCAACUUCUUGGUGUAGACUUUAAAUUUUAUUGUUGGCUUCUUCUAUAAGUAUUAAAAUAAUACCUCCAUGAUUGACAUGGCAAUACAUGAGAUUUUUAUCUUUAGAAUAUUGACAAGCUUGUAAAAAUUAAUAAUAGUUGAAAAUCUAUUUUCACCUCCUUCAAAUAUAGCACCCAUAAUUUUUAUUUCUAUCUCCAUAUUAAAUAAUUUUAAAACACAACAAAAGAAUUAAGAUAGUUUACUCAUUUUUAAAUAAAAAUAAGAAUAAUAAAUUAGCAUUCUUAUCAAAUUGUAAAGGACAUAAAUUACAAAGAAUCAAAUGAUCAAUAUACUCUUGUAUCACUUAAAUAGAAUAUAUAAGUACUUAAAGAUGGUAUAAUAUUAAACUAGAAUGACUAUUGCAAAAAAUAAGAAAACUAAAAUUUCUUCAAACAAGAUUAAAAACAAAAAAGGCAUUGACAAGAAUAAAUAAGGCUUCAUUUUUUUUUUUUUUUUUUUUUUUUUUAUUUAUUUGUUAUAUGCACUAUUUAACUAAGAGAUAUGUGAAGAUGUUUUAUACAACCUUCAAGAUACAUCUACUUUGCAAGAUACAUAUCUAACUUAUAAAAUAAAUUUUUUACAUAUGCCCCAUAUUGCUAGCUUGUAUCACAAGUUGCCAACAUGUAAGAUAUGUGGCCAACUUAUUGACUUAGUUUUUAAACUAAUAAUCAACUACAAAUAUAUAUAAUAUCAAAUCUGCAUCUAUGAAGCUUCACUAGAUUAAUGUUGUCUUUUGUCUUUCACCACGUUCUAAAAUUGUAGUUGUCUUGUUAUUUGGAUCAUAUUUUACUUGAUGCAUUCUUACAAGAUGAAUGGCCAAACAAAAAAUAUUUGGUAUUUCUUCUGGGAUUUACAUGCCAAAAAGUCUCCAAGCAGCCUCUAAAGCUCCAAUGUAUCUUGUAUCUAAGUAUUGUUUGAUCUUAUUUUGUUAUUUUUUAAAAUUAUAUUAUGAUAGAAUCAUCACUUUUAUAGAUGUAUUUAUAGAUAUAUAUAAUGGUACAAAUAGAUAUAUAUACCUCAACAUUUAUAAGACAAUUGUACUUCCAAGAUAGUACCAAGGACAUGAAACUUGAAGAACCAAAAAUUUAAUACAUUCUUGUAAAAUUCAAUAAGAAUAAAUAUUCAUUCAAAAAUAAUAUAGUAUUAAAAUUAGAAUGGCUCUUAUGAAAGACAAAAAGACCAAAAAAUCUUGAAAUAAGAUUAAAGACUAGAAAGAUAUUUAUAAGAAUAAAAAAGGCUUUAUUCUUGCAUCCUUGUAUACUAUCUAAUUAAAACCACAUGACAAUAUUCUAAAAAAACUUUGAUAUGUGUCUAAUUUGUAAGACACAUAUUUUAAUUUGCAAGAUAAAUUUCACAUAUAUGCACCACAUUGUUAACUUGUACAAGAAGCUACAAACACAUGCAAUACAUGGCUAAUUUAUUGGCCAAGUUUUUAACCUAUUAAUCACCUAUAGACAUGUAUAAAUGUAAAAUCACGUCUAUAAAGCUUCUAAAAUGCUUUUUUAUAAUAUAUUAUUAAAUUUAUAUAUUUAUUUAUUUAUAAUAUCUAAAUGAUUAUUAGAAUAUAUAUAUAUAUAUAUAUAUAUAUAUAUAUAUAUAUAUAUAUAUUUGACAUUAUUCUCUCUUUUAAGGAUGUAUUUCACGAAAAAUAAUGAUCAUAUAUUAAAAAAUUUAAAGAUGCGACAAAUUGUAUUUGUCUCAUAUUUUGAUUUUUAUUUAUUUUUUUAUUUUUUUAAAGAUAGUUGAAAGAUCCUCUCAAACAUUGAUAAUGUUUCAUUCUAAGAUAAGAAAACCAUUGUAUUAUUUGAUCAUUAUGGAGACCUUUAUAACUUCUUUCAAACAAAAUAUUUGAAAUAAAAUCAAGAAUUGUUCUUACUUCUAAUAAAAUCAUUUAACAUUAAAAAUAUCUUCCAAUAUUGUGAUAUCAAAUGCAUUAUAUCUUGCCAUCUAUUUGAAAAAGAACAUGUCAUUUUUGAAGGUAUUCAUCUCAAUUAUAUCAUUUUAAAGUUUGUAAUAUUUAUAAUAUUAUGUCUAAUAAUUAGCAAAUAAUUAUUCUUGAAUUGAAUUUAUUGGCUAUUGAUUUUCUAUCUCUUUAGUAUUACAAAUACAAAAAACUAUAAACAAGAAUAGAAGAUAGAAUGCAAUUUUUUUUAAGCCAUGUUUUUUUUUAUAGCAAAGAUUUUCUAUCCUUUAUCUUAGUUUGAAUAAUAUGGAGAAGUUUUUGAUCUUGAACAAAUGCCACAUAAUUGUACAAAUUUUAUAAUUUCCUUUUAUAUUUGAGGCCACAAAAAAUCUCUAAAUAUUAAUUCUCAAGUUUUAUUGUAUAUAAAAUAUCUAAUUCUUGGGAAGUAAAAAUAAGCUUAAAAAAUACAUAAUCAUGCUUUGUCUUUAAGAAUGUAUAAUCAUGACUUAAAAAUAUAGUAGAUUAAUCUUGAUUUCAAACUUAGAAGUAUCACAAGAUUUAAAAGAAUUAUUUUUAAUAUGAUGAAUAAAAAGAUCAAAAGACAUUCAAUUGAACUUACUUGAAAAAGGUUAAAUCAAUAGUUAAUUUUGAUUUCAUAAUUUAAAUAUGAAAAUAGUUUUACUUCAAGAAAAUCAUCUUUUUUUUUUUAAUCAAAAUAUGCAUUUUUUUAGUAAAAAAUAGGAACAUUUAGAAAGAGCUUUGUGAAUUCUAUCAAUACAUCUUAAUUAGAGGAUUUGUUAAAAAUAUAAUUUUAAGUCAUUUAAUCAUAUAAAUAUUAAGAUUUUUUUAACUAUUUAGGUAUUUAUUAUAAUUUAUAAUUAUUUAUAAAUUACAAAAGUCUUAUUAGAAAAAAAGUCAUAAAAAUGGAGUCUUUACAAAUUUUGGAGGUAAUUAUCUUAGUUGAUUUAAUAUUUUUAUUUAUUGUUAAAUAUUAAAGAUUAGUUAUUGAGACUAAUGUCUUCAUUGGUCUCUUGUUUAUAUGUAUUACUUAUAAAAAUCCUAUCAAUGAUUAGUUAGUAGUUAGAAGAAGCAUAAAAAAAAAACUUCAUAUCUUUUUAAUCAAUUAUAUAGAAGAUAGGAUUUUUAGUGGAUAUAGAUUGAUUUUAUUACUUUAUAAAAUAAAAGAUAGAAAAAUACAGACUUACAUAGAUUUUAGUAUUAUAAAAAUAUUAUAAUAUUUUUUAAAAUUUAUUUAGAAAUUUUUAGGAAUUUUAGAGAAAAAUUCAAGAUCUAGAUAAAAGUAAGUUUUAUCACCUUGGAAGCCAUUAUAAAAAAAUGGAACAAGAUUUGAAGGCCUUAAAAGGUUUUUAGGCUAUUUGAAUAUUUUUUAAUAUUAUGAUGAAGUCAAAAAUUCAAAAAUAUGAGUUCUACUAGUAGAAAAUAUGAUGACCAUCAACUAGUCUAAUCUUUCUAAGCAAGGAGGUACAUAAGUCUUACAUAAGUUGUAGCAUCUUGGAUGUAGGUAGGAAGAUAAGAUUAAGGCCUUGAGACUUCUUUAGGUACCCCAUAUAUAUUAUAUGUGAGCCUUAAUGAAGCUCGAAUCUUUGAUCUAAAAGUAAGUUAUCUUUGAGGUAUAAUAUUUUUACUUAACUUUUCAAUUAUUCAUUUUUUUAUCUUUAUACUUUUAUAACUUAUUCAUAAUAAUUUGAAAUUAUAUGUUUCUUAUGUCUUUAAUAAAACCAUCUAUCUAAAAAUAUAUUCUAAUAAUAUUUAUUUUUAUUUUUAUUAGAUAAAAAUUUAAUUAAUAGAUCAUAGACUAUUUUUAUUAUAUACAAUUAUUUGAUUAUACUUAUUUUACUUAUUUUAUAUUUAUUUUAUUUUAUUUAUUUUAUUUAUUAUUAUAUCUUAUAAUUUAUACCAAAAAUUAUAAAUAAAUCUUAAUUGAUGCCAUCUUGUAAUUUGGAUUGAUGGUGAAAUUUAUCCUCAUAAGUGUUUGACAAAUCUAGUUGUUUAUUGGAUCCAUAAGUGAUUUUAAAAUCAAAUCUUGAUAAGGAUAUGCUCCAACAAGCUUGGUGAAGAUUCAAAAUACAAGCCAAUAUAAAGUAUAUAAAGAUCUUAUGAUUUGUAUAUACAAUGAAUAGAUUAAAAGUGCCUUCUAUAUAAUGAUGCCAUUCUUCAAAUGAAUCCACAAUUGCAAGGACUUCUUUGUUGUGGAUGUUAUAGUCAAUUUCCAUUAUUAAUUUUUUUUUUAAAAAUAGAAAGCUAUGUAAUAGAUUUUAUUAUCUAUGCUAAUUUGUGCCAAAAUUGUAUCCAUAGCAAAGUUUGAUGUGUUUGUUUCUAUAAAGAAUGCUUUGAAAAAGUCAAUAUAAUAUAAGAUUAGUGCAAAAAAAAAUGACAACUUUAAGGCUUCCAAAGAUGCUUUAGUUUAUUUGUUCCAUUCAAGUUUUUCUUUAUGUGUCAAGUAUAUAAGAAGAGCUACAACUUGAGAAAAGUUUUUGAUGAAUAUAUAGUAAUAAUUGGCAAAUUUUAAAAAACCUCAUACAUCUAUGACUAUUUUUGAAAUCUUUCAAUCUAUGAUAGUUUGGACCUUCUUAAGAUCCACCAUAAGACAAUGAUGUACCUUAAGAAGUCAACUUGAGUAGUAUCAAAUAUAUAUAUUUUUUAUUUUAAUAUAAAAUCUUACAUCUUUAGAUUUUGUAACAUACAAUGAACAUAAAAUUCAUAUUCUUGUAUGAUCUUAGAAUAAAUUAAAGUGUUGUCUAAAUAAUAGAUGACAAAGUCAUUAAGAAAUUCAUAGAAGACAUCAUUCAUUAGAUGUUAAAAAGCAACUAGUACAUUUAUGAGUCUUACAUGCAUGACAUUAUAUUUGAAAUAUCUAUAUUUGAUUUAAAAUAUAAUUUUCUAUUCAUAUUUUUUUUAAUGCAUACUAGAUUGUAUGCUCUUCAUAGAUCUAUUUUAAUAUAGAUUUUUACUUAAUAAAAUUGUGUGAAGAUAAAUUUCACUUUUUAAUCCAAAUUAUAAGAUGGCUUUAAUUAAGAGUUGCUUGCAUUUAGUAGUGUGAAGUAAAAGAAGAAAAUAGCAAUAAAAAAGGAAGAUAAAAUAUAAAACAAAUUAAAUAAGAAAAAUCAAGAAAUUAUACAAUCCAAAACUUGACCAUAGUUUAUUUUUUGAAUUUUUAUCUAAUAAUUAGUAAAAAAAACUUUAAAAUCUAUUUAAAAAAAAAUUAUCUUUCUAAUGAUAUAAAAAAUACAUAAAUCCGAAUUAUUAUAAAUAAAUUAUAAAGGUUUUAAAAUAACAAGUAAAUAAAUAAAAAGUUAAAUAAAAAUAUUUUACUUCAAUGAUAACUUGUUUAUAGAUCAAGGAUUUGAGCCUUAGUAAAGCUCACAUGUAGUAUGUAUAGGUUCCUAAGAGAGGCAACGAGGCCUUGGUAUUAUCUUCUUAAUUACCUUCAAGGUGCUAUAACAUACGUAAAAUAGAUAUUAGUUCGUUUCUGUAAGAUAUUGAUAAAAUAGACUAAUAGUCUAUAGAAUAGUCAGUUUAGGAAGACGGAUGAUUGAUUUAGUUAUUAAAAGUGAUUAGUUACAAAAUUAUGAUUAGAAUUUAGGAAUCAAGAGCGAUUAUAUAAAAGUUUUAGAAGUUUGUUGGGGUGCCAGAUUGUGAUAGUCAUGAGUCAGGGUAAGCUUGGUGCUACCUCUUUGUUUCUUUGUUUUUUUUGUUGUUGAAGAGUAAUGGAUAGUUUCUGAAUAUUGAGAAGUGAAUCUAUGGAAUAAAUCAGAGAUUGAUUUAUGAGUUAUUGAUUAUGUAAUUGGAGUAUUGAGUGAUUGAAUUAUAUGAAGAGUUAUUGGAAGAUUAUGAUUGUUGUUUAUUGAGAGCUGUAUGUGUUUUGGACAAAGAAAGUUGGUAAUUACAGAAAUUUUGUGAAUUCAGAUUGGUUGGAGUGAAGUCUGUUAUUUCUAGUGUUGGAUGGAAAUUGUGUGUUUUGAGCGGUCUUUUGAGAGUGUAGGAUUGCACACUGUUAUUAUCAGUUGAUGAAGAAGUAUUAUUACUGGGAGAAAGUAUUGUAGUAUUUUUUAGUGUUUUAGUGGUUUGGAAUACGGUUAAUUGUGAGAUCCUAACAAGCAAAAUUCAUACACUUAGUCUUUUCCUGUGUUCGAAUUCCCAUAUAUAGGUUUAUUCUGAAAGAAACUGUAGAAUAAGUAAAACGACAAUCACAUUUUAGCACUGCUACCGGGGAUAGACAAUAGCAUUGAGUGUUAGGAAUUAACUAUCGAUUUAGUUAGAUGAGAGAUAGGAAGCAAAUUCAGUAGAAUAUAAUGAAAGAAUAUGGUUAUUAAGAAUGAGAACUUAACAGUAAAGAGAAUAUGAUAGUCGAAAGAAAGAAUAGAGAGAUUGCAAGCAAGAAAUUUAUUACGUAAUGAGCAAGAACGGAAGUUAAAAAGGAAUCAUCAAAAAAGUUGGUUUAAACCAUGGUUGCAUGCCUGUCGGCAUAUCCGAGUAUAUUCAGAAGCUGAUCAACAUCAAAUAUUUUAACAAUAUAUACCGUUAGAGAAAUUACAAAGAGCACUCAUAGAAAAUUUGGUCAAUAGACUAGUAUUUUCCUUGAGGCCGUUAAUUGCAAGUGGGAGAAUCACAGAAGAAUUGGGUAUUCUAUUGGAUAUGUUUCUAAUAACAAAAGCUUUUAAUUCUAUCAAAACUAGUUCCGUAGAAUAGCAUAAAUUACUGAUCAAUAAGAACCAAUUUAGUGUAUUUCAAAAUCCAUCAUUUUCACCCCUAAUUCAAUCGACUAACUUAGUAAAAGACAAUAAUAGGAAAUUGAGGAAACCUGAAAAUUUAGAACAAUCAAUUAGGAAAGGCGCCACUUGUUUUGACAAAAGAUUAAGUAAAACAUUAUUUUUUUCAAUGGCAAUGGGGGGUCCAGCGGUUCCAAUAGCAGUACAAAUGGGUGACAUGAGCGAUCGUAUAAUGAACGUGGCUCCAUUACCUAUUUUUAGGGAUUUUUUGGAUACAAAUCUUGAUCAACAUUUAUCUUAGUUUUUGACAACAUGUGUAGCCAAUAAUGGAAGAACUGAAGAUAUUUGGUUACGAUGGUUGCUAGCAACCUUAAAAGACACAACGUUUGAAUAGUAUAACUGUCAACCAGUGGGUCAAUUUUUCAAUUGAGAAGCAUUAAAAAAUACAUUUUUAAUCUAUUUUUGUCCAAUUGGUUUUGAGGAUCAACUUCGAGAAAGAUUAAUGACUAGCAAAAUGGGUCCAGGAGAGGCAAUGGAAUCAUACUAUGAUCGUGUGGCAGAUAUACUCCGCAAGUGGCCAAAUCACCAAAUGUCAGAGGCUUUUCUAUUGUCCAUAUUAAUCAACGGAUUGCACCCACCUAAAUUAAAAAUGUUUGUAAAAGAGGCUCAACUAAAUACGGUAACUGCAUCUUUCAAUAAAGCCAAUGUUUGGAAAGAAUACCAUUAUGAUCAAUUUUUAAUUGCGGGUGCCACGAUGAUUCCAGUUCAAGGCAGCUAUCAAAAUUUGACUUGGAACAGAUGAGUGGAUAGUUAUCCAUGGAUGUUAGAAACAGUGGCUAAUUUCAGUGCCAAUAUUCAGGGACCAGUUAAUGUCACUCCAUUGCAAGCUAUACCAUCUAACGUGACAACAACGUAGACUCCAUAUUUUCUAUAUCAACAACAAGUGGCAGAGUUAUCAAUAAUAUUAGCUCAAAAGAUUCCAAUGAAGCCUUGUUAUUAAAUUUGAUGAAGAAAAUGGAAGAAAUGUCCGUUAAUACGGUCAAGGAUAAGGAGAAGUGGCACAAGCCUACCAAUACUAGGACCAAUGUAUGGUGCAGUAAUUGUAAGGGCCAUGGUCAUUUGGUAACAGAAUGCCCUUCACCAUCACAAAUGAUAGGUCAAUGUACAUUUUGUGGAAGAAAGCACUCAACACCUAAUUGUUGGAAUUGGCAAAGGCAACAACAAUUCAAUAAUUAGACCAUGAUCCCACCGAUUCAGUGGAAUGUCAAUCAAGUUCAAACGGGAAAUAGAUUUGGAUGGAAUAGAAAUCGAUCUUAUUGAUAAAAUGGAGCAUUCAAUAACUUUCAAAGUUCCAAUUUUAAUUAGGGGUCUACAUCAAACCUCCAGAACUAUGGAAAAGAGCAGCAGAGGUAUCAGCAAUAUGCCCCAUCGGCGUCAUCAAACCAAAUACCUUCCAUACCAAUGGGACAACCAGGAUCAUUUUCUAAUCCUACAUGAAAUAAGCUUAGUAGGUAUAUACCAAUGGAGACAUCCAAUAUGCCAAAUGGAAGUGCAAGAAGACCACUUCGUUAUUUCUGUUGCAGACAGAUUCGUCAUUAUGCUAGUGAAUGUCCCAAUCUUAGAGCGAGUGAUGAUUAUGUGCUAGUGUAUGGAAAUUACAAAUAGUCGAGGCAUACUUAUCAGUAAUAUAAUGCUCCGUUUAAUUUCAAUAAUCGAGAUCAACAGAUCCAAAACCAAAGAAAAAUUGAGGAGAUAAAUCAAGGUUCUCAAGAUUCUCCGAUAAAUCAUGUGGAAUGUGUCCAAGCCAUUCUUACCAAGAGACAGCAAAAGAGGAAAGGACCAAUCCAACAUUUGGGUGAGUUUGAUGCAAAGGGCCAAUUUGAUCCAAUUACGGGGACAUCCAAUCCAUGUCCUAUUACGAGCUUUUUAUCCAUUCUGAGACCUGACUCAAUUGGAUAACCCAAUAAGGUCUCAAUUACAGAGGCUUUGAUUAUGUUUCAAGCUGUUCCGUUCUCUACGCAAUUUUGAGAAACGUCCUAUCAAUUGAAAGAUCCUCUUGGGGGCAUAAAUUCCAAGGAAGCUCUGGCUACUGUUUCAAUUCUAAAUCUAGGACGAAAAAAUAUCUUACCUCAUGGAGUUAAACUUAAACCAAUGAAAAGAAAGAGGAUAUUAGAAAUUACCUUAAAUAUGGAACCCUAUGAUAUUUUGAAGGAUCUGGAUGCUAUUCAGCCUUCUAUUUCUAUGAAGCAACUUCUAGCGGUUGCACUAGAAUAUUUUUCUACAUUAAAUUUAUCGUUAACACGGCAUAGGCAACGUAAUAAAGAAGUUUGUGAAGUCAGUUUGAACCCUCAUCCAAGUGCACCAACCAUCAAUGUUUCAAUUGACGGUAUUAUGAUCUCGGGUGUUCAAGUGGAUGGUGGUUCCAGCAUCAAUUUAAUGAACGCUAAUACAAUGGAUGCUUUAGAUUUGGAAUACUUAGUAUCCACAAUAUUGGUAUUAAUGAUGGCAGAUCAUAGCCAGGUUAAACCAAUGGAUAUUUUAUGGAGUGUUUAAACUAUAAUUACUGCUAUUGUGUAUGAAAUCGACUAUAUUAUCUUUCGGUUACAAUGAUUAACUUUAUUAUAUCCAAUUUUAUUGGGACGACCAUGACUUUAUCAAACGAAGGCCAAGAAUAAUUAGAGUCAGGAUACUUUGACAAUUGGCAAGGGUGGAGAUAAAAAGGUGUUACAAAUGUAUCCAAUACACUAUUACGGGGAGUCUCAAUUGCCAACAUUUGAAUUGACAUUGGACAAUGAGCUUAGCUCUGAUGAUGAUGCAAUAGCACUAAUUAUGGAGGCAUCCGUGGAAGCAAUCCAAUACUCUAGAGUGGUAUACCAAUGUGGUGGUACGGAGGAGUACUUGAUAUACCCGUCAGAUUCAAAAAUCUCUGCUAAAGUUAGUAUUGAUUGGAUGAUCAAGUAUGAUGUGCACCAUGUGAGUGCCUUGGACACAAGAUUCAGUACUUCACACAUAUCGGACUUAUCGACUAAUUUGAAAUCCACGCGAGAGUUGAAACUAAACAUCGUCGCUGCACCUUUAUAUCAAACUAUCAACUUGGUGACUACAGUAGAGCCUCGGACAAUUAAGGUCUACAAAGGUAUUAAGGAAUAGGAGUUGAUCUGCUAGACAAAAUUUUUCUUGCAUCAUAAAUCAGCUUUUGCUUGGACUUAUGAUGAUCUAAAAGGUAUCUUCUGUGAAGUCUGUGAGCAUCAUAUCAUUUUAGAGGAGAACACUAAAUUGGUACAGCAGAGACAACAUUGCCUUAAUCCUAAAUAUUCUCUCAUGGUGAAGGAGGAAUUAGACAAGCUUCUUGCGGUUGGUUUUAUUUAUCCAGUAUCAAAUAUUGAGUGGAUUUUUUCAAUUGUGAUGGUGUCGAAAAAGAACAAAAAAAUCCAAAUUUUUCAAGAUUUCUAGAAACUUAAUGCGGCUACAAAAAAAGAUUACAUCCCACUAUUUUUUACGGAUAGUAUGGAUAACAUGUUGUCAUUAUCACCAAGUAGUAAAAGAAUAAGAGUGGGGCACUAGUUAAAGUCAUUGUUUAGUGUUGUUUUGGAUUGCUUGGAGUGCCAUUUCUUGUGUUUCUUGUGUAUUCAAAAGUAGUAGUUCCAGUUAAGAGUUAACAGUGAAGAGUCGGUCACAAGUGUCAAUUGAAGAUGUUCCAGAAUGGUUGAGUCAGCAGCAGCAUCAAUUGGAACUUUGGGAUAUCCAGAUCUUGAAAUUAGAGGCUUAAGUUAGUGAAUUGGGAGAGUAUAAUAAAGAUCUCUCAAACCAGUUGAGAAAGGAAUCGAUGGAAGGAUUGGACGAGGACGCUGCUCAGAUAGGAAUGGGGCUAUGUAGAAUAGAUAUUAAUUCGUUUCUAUAAGAUAUUGAUAAAAUAGACUAAUAAUCCAUAGAAUAGUCAGUUUAGGAGGACGGAUGAUUGAUUUAGUUAUUAAAAGUAAUUAAUUAGAGAAUUAUGAUUAAAAUCUAGGAAUCAAGAGCAAUUAUAUAAAAGUUGUAGAAGUUUGUUGGAGUGCCAGAUUGUGAUAGUCAUGAGUCAGGGUAAGCUUGGUGCUACCUCUUUGUUUCUUUGUUUUUUUUGUUGUUGAAGAGUAAUGGAUAGUUUCUGAAUAUUGAGAAGUGAAUCUGUGGAAUAAAUCAGAGAUUGAUUUAUAAGUUAUUGAUUAUGUAAUUGGAGUAUUGAGUGAUUGAAUUAUAUGAAGAGUUAUUGGAAGAUUAUGAUUGUUGUUUAUUGAGAGCUGUAUGUGUUUUGGACAAAGAAAGUUGGUAAUUACAGAAAUUUUGUGAAUUCAGAUUGGUUGGAGUGAAGUCUGUUAUUUCUAGUGUUGGAUGGAAAUUGUGUGUUUUGAGCGGUCUUUUGAGAAUGUAGGAUUGCACACUGUUGUUAUCAAUUGAUGAAGGAGUAUUGUUACUGGAAGAAAGUAUUGUAGUGUUUUUUAGUGUUUUAGUGGUUUUGAAUACGGUUAAUUGUGAGAUCCUAACAAGCAAAAUUCAUACACUUAGUCUUUUCCUGUGUUCGAAUUCCCAUAUAUAGGUUUAUUCUGAAAGGAACUGUAGAAUAAGUAAAACGAAAAUCACAACAUAUAUUAGAUUUAUACACCUCUUUUUUUACAUGGACUACAAUAGCUAUUAGUUAUCCUAUUUUCUAUUCAUAGAUCAAAUAUUUUUGCAUUCUUGACUUUACCAUGGUGUUCAAAAACAUCCAAUUAGCUAAAGAACCUUGUGUGGCCUUUGAUUCUUGUGUAUUUCUUCAUAAUGGCUUCCAAAGUACUAAAAUCUAUUUUUAUCAAAGUCUUAAAAAUUAUUCUAAAAUUUCUAAAUAAGUUCUUAAUAAAUUCUAAAUAAAUUCUAAAAAUUUCUAAUAUGAUUCUAUAAUUUUAAUAUCAAUUUAAUUCUAUAAUUUCCUAUCUUGAUAAUUUUUUAUAGUCAUAAAAUCAAUUUAAAUCCAUUAUAAAUCCUACUUUCUAUAUAAAUAAUUAAAAAGACUUGAGAUUCUUUUUCAUGCUUCUUUUAACUACUAAUUAAUAUUUAUAGUUUUUUAUAAGUAAUACAUAUAGAUUGAAGGCCAAUGUAAAUAUUGAUCUUAAUAAAUAAUCCUCAUUACUCAAUAAUAAGUAAAAAUACUAAAUCAACUAAGUUAAUUACCUCCAAGACUUAUUAAGAUUCUAUUUUUAUAACUAAUAUUUUAAUUUUCUAUUUAUUUAAGGAUUUUAAUACUAUUUACAAUAUAAUGUGAUUUUAAGGACUCGAAAUGUAUUCUUUUGUCUUAAAACAACUAGUGUGUCUAUUUAAUGACUUAUAAGUUGAUCAAAAAGUCUUGAAAUCAAAAGUAGAUGGUACAUAUCCUUAAUGUUGAUCUUGUUGAAUCCUUGAUAGUUCACACACAUCCAUAAAGAUUCAUCUUUUUUCUUUUCAAAUAAGAUGAGAGUCUCUAUUGAAAAUUUAAAGUGACAUAUGAAGUUCUUAUUUGAGUUUUUAUUAAUACAUUCUUUGAAUACAAUCAACUUGUUUUGUGAUAGGUUAUAAAUUAUUUUUUGAUAGAAUCUUUGUAUAUAAAAUAGAAUGCACAUUGUGAAUCUAAAAAGACUAAGAUUUUGUGAUUUUUUGGUCCUAAAUAAAUUUCUACUAUAAAUCAAGAUGAAGAAUCUAAGGAAAAAAUAAGACUUUUGCUAGAUAUUAUGCAAGAUCUAGUAGCACGAUCCUUAUUUUUCCUAGAGAGACUUAUUUUCUAAUACAUUGUCUUCUUUGGCAAUCAUGUUUUUUUUAUUUUGUAGAUGAAUACUUCUUUAGAUAAUAUUGAGCAAUGUGCUUAGAUUUUCCAUCAUAUAGAUACAACCCUUUUUAAUAAUAUUGAAUCUUUUCUUGCUUAUUAAGAAGUUUGAAUAUAUCGUUUCAAUUUGCAUAGAUUGCAAUAUUAAUAAAUAAACUUUUAUAAACUUAGAAUUCAUUGCUAUGACUUGACUUAUAUUCCUUCAAUCAAAUCUUUGUUCUUGGCAUCUUUUAAAGAGAUAAUUAUUGCAUGGAAUAGCUUAAGCAAUAAAUUACUUUAAUAAAUCUAUUUUUAGUAUUAUUAAUAAAAAAUCUUUGAUAUUAAAUUUUAAUCCAUGUAGAAAUUUAUUGAUAAUAUUUUUAGCAUUUUGAUCUCCAUCUUAAGUAAGGUUUUGGAAUUUAUUAUUAUAUAUGGUAGCUAAAUAUGAUUUUUUAUUAUAAAUUAUAAAUUUGGUCUUUUUUAUCUUUUUUCAAUCAUUUUUUUUAAAUAUGAUUAUUAAGACUUUUGAUAAUACAUUUAAAUUUAAAAAUAGUCAUAAAUUCUUUUCUAUUAAAGGUGUAAACAAAGAAAGAACACUCUAACAGAGAAGUGUACCUAUGAAUCCAACUUCAAUAAAUUCAUAAGAGUAUUAAAAAAGAUGCAACUUUAGAUAGAACUUUAUUUGUUGUAGAAAUCUUCAAAACUUUGAUCUUCUUCCAUCAAACUUUUUUGGCAUACUUAUCUUUACCUCCUUUAUACUUUUAAUAGUAAGAUUUUUUGGAUUUAGUUGUGAACUUCAUUUGCUUACUUCUUUCAAUUGUAGAACUUUUUAUUAUAGACUUUAAACAUCAUUGUUGACUUCUUUCAUAGGUAUUGGAAUACUACUUCCAUAGUUGAGAUUUUGACCUUGAGAGUAUUGUCAAGCUUAUAAAAAAUUGUAAUAGUUGAAAAUCUAUUUUCACUUUUAGUGAGAGUAACAUCUAUAAUUUUUUCUUUUAUAGAUAAAUCAAAUAAAUCUAUAAGUUAUAUUAGAGAAGGAUAAUUUUUAACUUCUAAUAUCAAAUAAAAAUUUCUAUAAAGAAUGGUAAUGUACUUUUUUAAGGAAAAAAUCACUAUUCAAAAACUAAAAUGUUAAAUUGAAGGUGGAUAGUUUGCAAUCUUUAAAAUACAAUAAUAGAGGCAGGAUAGUCCACUCACUUCUAAAAAAAAGACAAGAAAAAUAAGUUAGUUGUCUUGUCAAACUAUCAAGGAUAUGAAUCUCUAACAAAUAAAAAUUCAAAUACUCUUAUAUAAUUCAAUAAGAAUUGAUAUUUACUAAAAACUAAUAUUGCAUUGAAAUUAGAAUGGCUAUUGCCAAAGACAAAAAUACUAAAAAAUCUUGAAAUAAGACUAAGGAUUAAAAUAAUUUUAAAAUAAAAUAAUUUUAAGUUGAUAUGAGUAAAGAAGACUUCAUUCUUACCUCUAUAUAUACUAUCUAACUAAAAUCUUCAUAACAACAUUCUAUAGGACUUUUGACAUGUGUUUAAUUUACAAGUCAUAUGUCUUAACUUACAAGACAAGUUUUUUAUAUGUGUACCACAUUGAAAGCUUAUACCAUAAGCUAUCAAUACAUACAACAUGUGACUUAUUUUUUGGCCAAGUUUUUAAUCUAUCAAUCACCUAUAGACAUGUAUAUAGAUAAAAUUUUAUCUAUAAAGCUUUUAAAAAGCUUUCUUAUAAAAUAUUAUUAAAUUAAUUAAUUUUUAUUUAUUCAUAAUAUAUAGGUAAUUAAUAGAAUAAAUAUAUAUAUCCAUAAUAGAUAGUUUUGGAUAAAAUGGAAUAACAUCCCUAUUAUCAAUAACCAAUUUUCAAACUUCAAAAGUUCUUCUAUCAUUUUAUCAUCAAUAUUAGAAAUAUCCAUCGAAAUCUAUUAUUAUUUCUUCUACAAAUAUUUUUAAGUAUUUCUUUAUACAACAAGUAGCUUCUAUAUAAGAUGCUUGAAGAUUCUAUAUUUAACAUAAAUUAUAUACCAUGCAUUGUAGAAUAAAUUCAAAUAACUCUUGAUCAUUGUCUUUAUUUGGAAAUUUUGUAAAAACCAUAUGAUGUACAUCUAUAGUGCAUCUAAUUUUUUUUUUUAUCCAAAAAAUUCAAAAUAUAUAUAUAUAUAUAUAUAUAUAUAUAUAUAUAUAUAUAUAUGACAUAUACCUCUCUUUUGAAAUUCAAUGGUAUAAAUAUAUGCAACAACAUGAUUAAAAAUAUAUAUAUAUUUUUUUAUCUUCUAAAAUUACAUAUUUUUUUAGCUCAAAUAUACUAGCAAUCAAAUCUAGAUGAUUUCUUAUUUGUUGUCACUAAAGUAAUUCAUUUUGGAUUUUGUACCAUCUUAUAUUUCUUAUCAUUUUCAUAAAAAUAUUAGGAUGUUGAUAAAACCUUAUAAUUAACAUAGAAUUUUAAAGUAUUUCCAUCAUAUGCCUUACACUUCUAAUGUGUGAUGAUGGAAGUAAGAUCAUGCAUCCUAAAUUAUUUGAUUUAUAUUCUCUUUCUUUAGGCUCGAUACUUUGAUGAGUUAUGACAACAUCUAUCAAUCCUUGGUACAAAUCAACAUGUAGAUUUCUUAGAUUAUAAUAUAGAUAUUGCAAAUUUGAUUGAUUAGUUGCUACCUAUCUAUCAACCAUAAAUUAUUGCAAUAGCUUUCUUCUAUGUAAAAUUGUGAAAUAUUUAAUAGGACUUAAAAAUAGUCAAUAAGUAAAAUAAUCUAUUUAUACAAGGUUGUUGCUUCUCCAAUCUUCUUGUCUUGCACCUUCUUUUUUUUCAACAAUAUCUAUCAUUACAUUUUGUGUCGUUAAACAAAGAUGCCAUCUAAGGAUUUUAUGCAAAAAAAAUAAUAAUAUAGUAAAGAGACAAAUAAGUAGAAUGAGCCUCAUGAAUCUUUUCUAAUAAAUCUAUUACAAUAUAGGUAAAUAAUAAUAUAGAGAAGUGUAUUAGACUUUGAUCCAUGUCCAAAAAAUAUUAUAGAAAUUUUUUCAAAGUGAUAAGAAGAUAAUAUUGGCAUCUAUUGGUCUAAUUCAUGAAGUGCAAAGAAACUACAAGAUCCACUUCUACUGCUCCUUCAUUCUAUGCUUGAGAUAGUAUUUCAUAUGUAUGUCUAUAUGAUUUAAUAAAUGGAUUUUUCUUCUUCAAAACUUCUCCAAUUGCUUACAUAGUUUGGCUCAAUAAAUCUCGAUUAUAUUCUAUUCUUUUAUCUUGAAUAAAUGAUGCACUGUAGAUAUAAAGUUGUACAUAAGUUGAAUCAAUACCUAUUUUUGGUAACGAUGCUCUUGCCAAAUGGUGUAACUCUUUAUUUACUCUAAAAUUUUAUAGAAUAUUUUUUUGAAGCACAAAUCAAUCAAUAUUUACAUCUAAGGAUAUAAAUACAUAUGUAACAUUGUACUAAUAGAUAUUUCCUUAAAAUUUCCUUGUUCUUGUGUCUUGGUCUUCAAAUAAGCAUUUCAAAUGCAAAGACAGAGAAAUUAGAAAUGAUAGAAAAACUUUUCCUUGAAAAAGAUUCUUUCUAAAUAUUAUUAACUUCUUUGAAGAUUGGACUAGAUCUUUAUCAAAUCAAUGCAAUGAGUUACAAUGAGAACAAAAAACAUUUAGUCUACCUAGAUUAUGUACACCUUCAGCACUUAUCAUUAUAAUCUUUCUUCAAUCUCUCUCUUUGCAAUCAUUUAUAACUAUUUCAGCUUCUUUUUGUACUCUCAUAUGUUCUUUACGUGGUCAUAAAGAAAUUGCUUUCUAAUUUAUUUUAAUCAUUGUCAAAGUUAGACCAUUCAUUGUAGCAUAGGUUCUACCAAAUAAUUGAAAUCAACUUAUAAGCAUCAAAAUUAUACCUACAUAAAUUUUCAAUAAAAUUUUAUUAUUCAAAUAUUUUAGCAAGAUUAAAUAAUACUUGUAAAAUAAAAAUAAGUGAACAUAGCUUAAUUAGUCAAAAUAUAAUGCCACAAUGAUUUAAAAAAAAUUAUAUCCAUGCAUCCUAUUGAUUAUGAUUAUACAUAGUUUUACGAUGACUAGCUAAAAUAAAAAGUUUAAUUUUUCCAAAAUAUUAUAUUUUACAAACUAAAAUGAAUACAUAAAAUAAUAUAUAUAUUUUUAUUUACUAAAUAAUAUAUUAAUAUUUAUUUCUUUACAAAUAUAUAUAUAUAUAUAUAUAUAUAUAUAUAUAUAUAUAUAUAUAUAUAUAUAUAUAUAUAUUUAUUGAAAAAAAUGAUAAAGCAACUCAAAUUUUUAUUAAAGCAACUUACUCUACUUUAAGCAUGAUUGCACUCUUGGAGUUCCAAUUCUUGUUCCUAGUCAUUUUUUGUUUCCAACCAUUGCUAGGGAUUGUCACGGAUAUACUCAUGUAAGCUAGUAAUUAUAUAUAUAAAUAAGUAGAAGUAAGUAAAAGUAGAUAAAAGUAAGUUAAUUCUAUAGUAUUUGAUAUGAAAGUUUUUUAGAAGCUUUAUAGACGCUGCUUUGACUUCAUAGGUGUCUUUAAUUGACUUUUUGGAUUAGAAACGUGGUCAACAAGUUGGCCAUGUGCCACACAUAUUGUUAGCUUGAAGACCAAGCUAACUAUGUGGCCCACAUGUAAAAAAACUUACCUUGUAAGUCAAGGCAAGCGUCCUACGAAGUCAAUAUAUAUUGGAGGUCCUAUAGAACAUCGCCAUGUAACUCCUAGUUAGAUAGUAUAUAUAGAGACAAGAGUGAAGCCUUCUUCACUCUUGACAACUACUUUCUUAUUUCUUGUCUAGUUUCAAGAGUCGUUAUGGUUUCUAGUCUUUAGCAAUAGCCAUUCUAGAUCAAUAUAUUAUCACCUUUGAUUGAUUUCUAAGUAUUUUCGAGUGACACAAGAGUGUAUUGAGAUUUUCUUUCUUUGGAAUUCAUGUCCUUGAUAGUUUGACAAGAGUGCUAACAUAUUAUUUUUGUCUUCUUCUAGAAGUGAGUGGAUUAUCCCACUUCUAUUAUUGUAUUUUGAAGGUUGUUAAAUAUCCACCUUUAAAUAAAAAAUCUUGUUUUCUAACAUUGAUCUUUUCCUUAAAGAGAGUGGAUUAUCCCUCUUUAUGGAAUUUGUUUUUAGAGGUUGUGGAUUACCCUCCUCUUAUUUAACUUUUGAAUUCGUUUGAGUUGUCUAUAGAAAGAAAAAUCAUGGAUGCUACACUUGGUGGAAGUGAAAAUAGAUUUGUAACUAUUGCAGAUCUUCAUGAGUUUGUCAACACUCUUAGGACCAAAAUUUCACGCAUCACCAACAUCAACCAUAGAAGCACUAUUCUAACUACUAUAGAAGAAGUUCAAAGUCUAUGCCAAGAAAUUGUGCAGUUGAAGGAAACAAGUCGAUUAGCCUCACAACCAAAUUCCGGAAGUUUUGCUUCUACAAGCUCGAGGGAGGCAAAGAUUAGUAUGCCUGAAAAGUUUGAUGGAACAAGAUUAAGAUUUCGAGGGUUUUUGUAAUAAAUUAAACUCUACUUAAGGUUGCAUCUUUUCUAAUACCCUCAUGGAUUUACUCAAGUUGGAUUCAUAGGUGCACUUCUAUCUCGAAGUGUUCUUUCUUGGUUUGCAGCUUUGAUGGAAAAGGUUUCACGACUACUCUAUGAUUUGAAGUCAUUCUUGGUAGUAUUUAUGGCUAUAUUUGGAGAAAGUGAUCAAGAAAGGAUAGCAGAGACUAAGCUUAUAUCACUACGACAAGGAUCACGUUCAACCACCACGUAUGCCGCUGAAUUCGAAAGUCUUGCUUGUGAUGUGGAAUGGAAUGAUAAAGCCCUUAUCAAUCAAUUUCGCUAUGGAUUAAAGGAUAAUGUCAAAGAUUUGUUAUUAACAAUGCCAAAAAUAGAUUCUUUAAAAUAAUUCAUUGCUCAAGCUAUUGCAUGUGAUAAUCGUUUAUUUGAAAGACAUCAAGAACAAAGAUAUGAUUGGAGAGAAACAACUCAAGUCAUGGCAACACCUUCUAAGUUUUUGGAAACCUUUCCAUCAAGGCCAGAGCUAAUGUAAAUUGAUACGGUACGUUUUAAAUCCCUCGCUGAGUAGGAAAAGACUAGACAACGUCAAGAGGGCUUAUAUCUAUAUUGAGGAGAAGCUAAACACACUGCUUAACAUUAUCCAAGAAAGCAACGUAAUAACAAAAUGAGGAGUACGAUUGCAAAAGAAGACAAUGUGAUGGAAAACGAGUUCCUUUAGCUACAAUAGGGACCGAGCGGUUGGAACCAUAUGCAAUACGUAGUCAAGGUCUUAUUCUCUCCUAAGAUCCCUCACCUUAUUUUACAAUAGAUGUGUGUUUAGGAUCCAAAAAUCAUAAAGUCUUUGCAUUAUUAGAUUCAAGAGCCUUAGCUUAUUUCAUAGACGAAGACUUUGUCAAAAAACAAGAAAUAUUGUUAGUCAAGAAAAUCAAAUCCAUACAUGUGGAAGUCAUAGAUGGUCGUUCAUUGUCUUCUAGUGAUGUUAUCCAUGAGACUGUUCCUUUAGAUGUAGUAAUUAAAGAUCAUAAUAGUGUAGUAAUAUUUAAUGUGAUACGAUCUCUUUUGAAUUCAGUCAUUUUAGGACUAUCUUGGUUAGAAAAGUACAACCCUCAAAUAGAUUGGAUUUCUUGUAACCUUAACUUUUCUAGUAGUUUAUUUCGAAAUUCUAUUAAUCAAGAAGAAAUACAUAAGUCUAGUACAUCUAAACGCUUACUAAUAGGGGCAAGAGCUUUCAUGCAUGUAGCCAAAGAGGGGUCAUCUUUUGCUUUAUAUGCCACGUCCAUUUCAGAUAGUGAAAAGACAUCAAGUGGUAUUCCUAGCCAAUAUGAAGAAUUCCAAGAUAUUUUUUAGAAGAAGAAUGUAGAUAUUCUUUCCAAAACAUCGACCUUAUGAUUGUUCAAUUGAUCUUCAAGAAGGAGCUCAACCGCCAUUUGGACCAAUCUAUACCUUAUCACAAUACGAGUUGGCUACACAAAAGGAGUAUAUUGACAAGAACUUGGCUAUAAACUUCAUAUGCCAUUCAAAAUCUCCAGCAGGAGCGCCAAUCUUAUUUGUAAAGAAAAAAGAUGGAUCUCUACGGAUAAGUGUAGUCUAUUGGGGCCUUAACAAGAUCACCAUCAAAAAUAGGUAUCCUUUACCUUUGAUUUCAAGACUUCUUGAUCAACUCAAUUAAGCAAAGAUCUAUACAAAAAUAGAUCUACGAGGAGCAUACAACUUGGUCUGCAUCAAAGAAGGAGAUGAAUGGAAGACUACUUUUUGAACUAGGUAUGGACAUUUUGAAUAUAAUGUCAUGCCUUUUGGACUCACAAAUGCACCAACUACUUUUCAACAUCUUAUGAAUGAUGUUUUUUGUGAGUUUUUAAAUGAUUUUGUUGUUUGUUAUUUAGACGACAUUCUAAUCUAUUCUAAAAAUACAGAAGAACAUAAACUCCAUGUUUGUCAUGUGUUACAAAAACUAAGAGAUGCAGGAUUAUAUGCCAAGUUGAAAAAGUGUGUAUUCCACACUACUCAAGUUGACUUUUUAGGAUACAUCAUUUUCAACAAAGGCCUGAUAAUGGAUCCCAAGAAGGUCCAGACUAUCAUAGAUUGGAAGAUUCCAAGAACAGUACGAGAUAUGCAAUGCUUUUUGGGCUUUGCAAAUUACUAUUGAAUCUUCAUCAAGAACUUUUUUCAAAUUGCAGCUCGACUUAUGUGUUUAACUUGUAAAGACAAAUUUAAGUGGAGUAAAGAAGCUAAAGUAGCGUUUGAUGGUUUAAAGAAAAAAAUUACUUCUGCACCAAUCUUGUAUCGCAUCGACUUCUCCAAGGUAUUUUUUAUAGAAACAGUUGCAUCAGACUUUGCUUUGGGUGUCGUUUUGUCAUAAAUAGGAGUAGAUGACAAGCUCCAUCUAGUAGCUUUUUAUUCCAGGAAAUUUUCAGCAAUGAAGAUUAACAAUGAAAUCCACGAUAAAGAGCUUCUUGUAAUUGUGGAUUCAUUUCAAGAAUGGCAUCAUUAUCUAGAAGGCACCUCAAGUCCAAUCACUGUGUACAUGGAUCAUAAAAACCUCAAAUAUUUCAUGUCAGCAUGCAUAUUAAAUUGUCGUCAAGCUUGUUGGAGCAUGUCUUUAUCAAGAUUCAAGUUCAUCAUCACUUAUCGACCAGAAAAAUAAUAAGGUUUGUUUGAUGCCUUGUCUAAACAUUCUUAUCUUGUACCAAAAGAAGGAGAUGUAGCUUUUGAGCAACAAAGAAUGGUUCUCUUGAAGCUAGAGCAAUUUCAUCUUCGAGCAAUAAAAUCAACAUUGAUUGUUGAUUUAACUUUUCUCAAGCAAGUUCAGUUAAGUAUGUCUUUAGACCCUCUUGUUCAUGAUAUCAAGAAUAAUUCUUCUAAAUCUCAUGAUGCCUCUAAAUUCGAAUUCAAGAACAACCUACUCUAUUUUGAAGAAUGUCUAUAUGUUCCAGAAGGAGAAGCACAUUUACGUGUUCAUCAAACUCAUCACGACUUUCUAGCAGCAAGACAUUUUGGAUACAAUAAGACUUUGGAGUUGAUAUCUAGGGAUUUUUGGUGGCCUCAAAUGUGGAAGGCAACUGAAGAUUUUGUACAAUCAUGUGAUGUUUUUUCAAGAUCAAAAACUCCUCAUCAUCGAUCUUUUGGACUUCUUCAGCCAUUAUCCAUUCCAGAACAACCAUGGUCUUUUCUUUCUAUGGACUUCAUCACAAAUCUUCCAAGCUCAGGUUUUUAUGACUCUAUAUUUGUGAUAGUAGAUCGCUUCACCAAGAUGGCAUAUUUUGUGCCAUGUACAAAAUCCAUCACGGGUUAAGAAACAACUAAGCUUUUUAUUGAUAAUAUCUAUCGCUAUCAUGGAUUACCAAAGGAUAUUAUAUCGGAUAGGGGAAUUCAGUUUGUAUCAAGAUUUUGGAAAAUUCUUUUUAAGAUUUUACAAAUGGAUAUAAAACUAUCUUCGGCUUUUCAUCCUCAAACUGACGGAUAGACAUAACAUGUAAACCAAGUCUUGGAGCAAUACUUAAGAUGUACCAUCAACUAUCAACAAGAUGAUUGGACAACUCUUUUGCCAUUCGCACAGUUUGCUUAUAAUAAUACGAUGCAUUCUUCUACACAACAAACACCUUUCUUUGCCAUUUAUGGUUAUCAUCUACAACUUGACAUGUUUGAUUUUUCAAAAGUUGAUAAUCCUGCGGCAGAAGAUAUGGCAAAUCGGUUGUCAAAGUUACAUUCAACAAUGAAGGCGUAAUUAAAAGAAGCUCAAGAAUGACAAAAGAUAAAUACGGAUGUCUAUCAAAAGAAACAACUACCAUUCCACAUGGGCGAUGAGAUAUGGUUACUUCGUCGCAAUAUCAAGAUCACUCGUCCUUAUGAUAAGUUGGACUAUCGAAGGCUUGGACCAUUUUCUAUUUCUGUAGAAAUCAAUCGAGUUGCAUAUCGUUUACAUCUACCAGAGUCAAUAAAAAUCCAUCUAGUAUUCCACGUAUCUCUUUUUGAACCAUACAAGAUAGUGGACAUACCAAGAAGAAGACAAGUUCUACCUCCUCUUAUAGAAGUGGAGAAUAAUGAAGAGUUUGAAGUGAAAGAAGUCAUAGAUUCAACGCUACGUCGAAAUAAAUUGAAAUAUCUUGUCCAUUAGCACAGAUAUGAUAUUAGUGAAUGCACAUGGGAGCCAGUAAAGAAUCUUGUAAAUGCAAUAAAGGCGGUCGAGGCUUUUCAUCGACGACAUGCAUCAAAAUCAAGAUAAAAAUCUUCCUUAUAAAAGAAACAAGAUCUAGAUAAGAUAACAUUCUACUUUUAAUCCUUAUUUGUAGCUUCUUUGUAGUUGUAACGCUAAAGAGAUGGAGAAUCAAUAACUAGCGGAUUUGACUCAAGAGCCUUCAUUUGCUGACCUACCAGACAAGACAUUACGAUUGUCACAACUUUCAAGAUGACACAAUCGAGAUGAAGAUCUUCAAGAACGACAUAUUCUUCUUCAAAUAGAUGGUCAGAUACAACGUAUUUAAUAUCACGACCUUGGAAGAGACUCCCGAUAUUUGGUGAUUUUACUAGAAGUAGAAACAACUCCUGAUGGUGUUCCAAAUGUUUUAUUCAAAGGAAGUAAUGAAGGCCUCAACAAUGAUCAAAUAAUUGGGUGGUCUUCCCGCCUUGGUAUGGGACACUACCGAUGGUUGAGAGGCCCUAUCAAUCAUCUUCGAAGAAAACAAAGAUGAGAGUAUGUGGCGAAUAUAAUUUGUCGCAACAUAUGAUGACCGCUCCCUAUGGAACUCGUCCAUAGAAGGGAGGGUAAUGUCAUGGACAUACUCAUGUAAGCUAGUAAUUACAUAUAUAAAUAAGUAGAAGUAAGUAAAAGUAGAUAAAAGUAAGAUAAUUCUAUAGUAUUUGAUAUGGAAGCUUUCUAGAAGCUUUAUAGACACUGCUUUGACUUCAUAGGUGUCUUUAAUUGACUUUUUGGAUUAGAAACGUGGUCAACAAGUUGGCCAUGUGCCACACAUGUUGUUAGCUUGAAGACCAAGCUAAGUAUGUGGCCUACAUGUAAAAAAACUUGCCUUGUAAGUCAAGGCAAGUGUCCUACAAAGUCAAUACAUAUUGGAGGUCCUAUAGAACAUCGCCACGUAGCCCCUAGUUAGAUAGUAUAUAUAGAGACAAGAGUGAAGCCUUCUUCACUCUUGUCAACUACUUUCUUAUUUCUUGUCUAGUUUCAAGAGUCAUCAUGUUUUCUAGUCUUUGACAAUAGCCAUUCUAGAUCAAUAUAUUAUCACCUUUGAUUGAUUUCUAAGUAUUUUCGAGUGACACAAGAGUGUAUUGAGAUUUUCUUCUUUUGGAGUUCAUGUCCUUGAUAGGGAUGGAGGCUAGAGGUUAGAAAUGUCAAGAACAGAGGCGACUGUUGAGAACAAAGGAGUAGUUGAGAAUAGGAGAAUAGCUUAGGAACGUGGUAUGUGGGUCGAUUGAAUAAAAAUUUGGAUUGCUUUAUCAUUUUCCUAUAUUUAUGCAAAUAAAGUUGAAUUUAAAAAAAUUCACAUAAAAGCAAGGAAUUAAAUUCUUAUAAUUCAAUUUUUAUACAACAAUUCUUAUUGUAAUUGACAAUACUUUUAAAAUUCCAAUAAAACUUUGUUAUUCAAGAAUUUUAUUUAUAAUGAAGAUAUAAUAUGAAAUAUAAUAUAAUAAAUAUACUAUAAGAACUAUAAAAACUAUAAAUAUAAAUAUAAAAACUACAUGUAGAUAAAUUAAGAUAAAAACUAUAAAAAAAAUUAAAUAUAAAAAUAAAAAUUUCUAUAUAUAAAACUAUAAAAUGAAAAAAAUGAUAAAACGAUUUUAUUUCUUGUAAAAUUCUAUAUCUUAUAAAACUUUAAAACUUUAAAACUAUAAAUAUAAAAAUAUAAAGAUAUUUGAUAUAACUAUAAAACUAUAAAAAUACUACAAAUACUAUCUACAGUGAUCAAAUACAAACUGUAAAUACUGUCUUUACAUACUGCAAAUACUGUGUUUACAUACUGAUAAUACUGUGUUUUAAAUACUGGUCCAAGUAAGGAGAGGUCUGUAAAGCUCCAGCUUGUGAACUUCCCAACAUAACUUUGCUGCGAAAACUUCUCGUCGCAACUUUCUUAAUCCCCCAAUUGCGCCCAGGAACGUCGUUUCAAGGGCUGUGAGGAUAAGGCGUAAACUAAACCGCUUAGUAAGUCACAUAUCACAAUCUUCUUUGAUGAAUUGCAAAUCAGAAGUACAGACCUGCACUGAAAUCUAGAUUGUGUGGUUGCAAUGACUCGUAAUAAAUGAGCGUCGUCGUCGUCGAUUGUAAUAAAUGAGCAAACCUGUGGAACCAAAACUCCUACAUCCCUGUGAGCGCCAUCAAACCACAACUCAAAAUUCAUCGCACACAAAAAAUAAAAAUAAAAAUAAAAAAACGAAAAAACUCCGCAGCUGUGAACUCACCAUUCGAACACUUCUGCUAUCUGAAAGAACUCCGACACGUUCACUCAACCACAACCUCUUGACUCAAUCGUGCGCUUCGAAAAAAGCGCAGAUGUGACUCAAACACUGCCAAGGAAGAGUCCGGCAAGCAACUGACAAAUUUAGCUACAGAAUUCAACAACCUUUGUUCCCAACAACGAACAGGGAAAGCCUAUUGUAUCCCGCAACAGGGACGCGCGAUUCUGCCACGUACCGCACACUCGUCAGUGAGAGCGACGCCGAAGCUUCUGUGAACGCCGUUGCCACGGAGUUCGUAAGGCGAUUGCUCCGUCUUAAGCAAAAGCCAAUUUCUUCACUGAUUUCACUGAUUGUGAACUGAAAAUGCUGAUUUUAUCAACAAAUCGAAGUUUACAUCGUCUGUAAGAGAAUUACUCGAUUCAUUGUUAUUAGGUACAGGAUGUGAACCUUCCUAUUUUCAAAGAAUCAAAUUUUCAAAUUUUUUCUCCUAGAUAGUGCUCGUCAAAAUCCACGCCCGUUCCAUGUGACCACGUCGUAAAGCUUGCUGAGCCUUCCCCGAUGUAUUCGCCUUCCAAUGCUUCUUAGACUUCAAGUGAUUUGUACAGCAAAAAUGAAAACAUGAGCACAGAAGCAUACGUUGUAGUUGUUGAUAUAUUCAUAAUAUGUAGAUACCUUUUCCUAUUCAGGAAUUGGAUCGGACCAACUCGGUCCUCACGAAGAAUAGAACUCCACUUGCAUUGGGAACGCUUAUGGGAACUCUUUUAGGAACGUCUUCAGAAAACUUAUCGUCAAAAGCCCUCGUCUCCGUGGCGGCCUGUGCUAACGGAUUCUCUUCCAUAUUACCUCAAUCGCUGCCCGGCAUCCAAAGCUACCCCAGGGACAAAGCCCUGAAGGAUCCUGGCCUGCCCCCUACCUACCCGUAGAAAGAUUCGUCCUGCCCGGCUGAGCGAGAGGUCGAGAAGCAUAAUAAGCUCUCGACUCCUUCAUGCCUUUUUUUCUCGCUUUGCAUUCCAGCCACACCCCCGCAUCGCCGGCCGAUUUCUUGCACUCGUUUUCGCCGUGGUCGCAUUCCUCACCCUUGGCCCCCUUGUCCGGUAUGUGCGCACCUCCCUCCCUCCCGAUCUCAUUUUCGCAUCGUUGUUUUGGGUGCAUGGAUGUUGAUUCUAGGGGUUCGGAGGGUCUUGCAGAGUCGAGUGUUGUUACGAUUCGCAAGUUGUGGGCUGUUGAGAUUUUGGAUAAUAGGUGUUCAGACCAUCUCUGCGAGUUUGGCUUCAUGGCUCCACAUGUGGGUUUGUCUGUGCAUUGUGUAACAUGCAUGUGGACCCGUUCGAUAGUGUUAAGGUCCAGUUUCGGUUUGGGUGUGAAGGAGGGGGUGGUGGUUGUUGGGCUGUUGUCUUAAUGCUGAGGUUGUAGUAACCUAGGUAGGUAUCAUUAAAAGAAUGUUGCGUGCUGCUCAUUAGGAGCCAUGGUGAUUAGUGGCCUUCCUCGGCCUUUUCCCUUGGUUUUUCGAGACGGCUUAGUGCCAGGAGGUGAGGCAUUUUUGUCCCCCUUCCCCCACGACUUAAGAGGCAUAUGAACCUUCAUGAUACUCAUAUUGUUUGAGCGGGCGACGAGAUCGUUGGCUGAGAUAAAGGGUUAGAAGUUGCAGUGGUGAUACACCGUGACGGUUGUUGAGGGAUGGCGUGCUGGUUUUGCUCGUUGUCGAAGCCGUAAAGUGACUAAUCGCGUGUCAUAAAGUUUGAAACCGCAUGUUUGGGUGUGGUGUCUGAAGAUCUAUUCCGGAAUGUAUUUCUGGAUCUGUAAGUACACGAGUAGCGCACAUGUUAAAUGUCGAUUGCUAAAUGCUGCCUUUCUCUUCUUCUCCUCUUCUCUCUCUCUCGCACACAGACACACACAGCGUAGGCUGUGGCAAAUCCGAAUGAAUGGGUCAGCGCACGCUGCAUUAGGACUUCUGAGACACACUUCAGCUUAGAGGGAGCUUUAUCACAUUAGGAGAUAAAGACUCAGUCGUCGUGGUGCAAACCUUCUUUGCCAGGAUGUCAGGCUAUGAGGCAGAAGUGCGUCGUGCCCCUCGCAUAAUAGACAGUUCAAAGGCUAGGUCUUUUUUGAGGUACGGACCGACGCUCUCGGUGUAUAAUGUAGCCUGUCUUUAACCAAAAUUUUCGAAUAGAGAAACACCGUCUUCAAUCUUCAGCACGGUCAUUGCUGUGGUUCGUGGCUUAAGUUAUUUUGAAUCUCUCUCGGAUCGCUUGAAUUCCGUGCCUGUUAUUAGUAUAAUUUUUGGAGCAGCACCAGUUGGUGUCACGAAGGGCGGCCCAAAGAGAGUUGCCCGCUGUUUCCUUCCCUCUACUAUCAUACUACCACCAGGAAACCAUACAUGCAGCAGUCUUCGCCUUGCCCGACUGCUUACAUUUAUUUCUGUUAUUUUAUUCUAUUUUGGAAUCAUGAACGAUAUGCUGAACCUUACACCUUGGGAAAGUUUGAUACCAGUCGUGUUUUAUUGGUCCCACCUCAUCCAAGCUUGUCGAUGAAACCACCCAUCCUCUUGUUGCGAUGUAUGUCUAGUUUAUCCUUCGUUUUCGUGGCACGGGACAAUAUUAGGCGUAGGUACACGUACGUGAAUCUAGUUACAUUUGGAAUUUCACGUUAUUGCUGGAGUUGAGAUUAACAUGAUCUUGCACAGUGUCAUUAGAGAGGGAAUCAAACUAUUUGACGCAACACGGAAAACAAUCUCAGGUUCGUAAACCGCUUAUGGCAUGCAGAAAAUAUUUGUUAACUUCUGCUUUACAAUCUGUAUGUGAAUCCACAUAUUCUGAUCAGAUGUGUGGAAUAGUGGAAAGAGCGGCGUGAAAUAGGAUUAUUGGUGUGUCAAUGCGGUCGUGGUCCUCAAGGGAGCCAGCAAUAAAUCUGAUGUACGGUCUCUGGUCCUUUUGCAGGAUCAUCUUACCGCACACUUGUAUAUACAUGAGGCUGCUGUACAUGAAGAGUUUAAUUUUGUACACAUACACCCACGGUGUCUUUGGACUUGGAGCAAUAUAGGUUUUGGAAGUUGUUGAAACUGGGAAUGCGGUAACGUGCUUGGGUAAGAGUGAUAGACUGAAGACGGGGUUCGUUGGGGCUGGAAGCGCACGAAUCAGCAAAACUGGAGAUCGCAAGGAACCUAGGUGGUGUCCAGCACCUGGCUGGGGCCUGGAACUCGUUGGAGAGCCGUCCAGAGAUGAACGAGAGGAGACGACCUUUGUCGGGAUUUCGAGUGGAGGGAAACGAUGAGGAGGUGAUUUGUCCGAAACCGCGGCGACCAACGAACGUGUCGUGUCCUGUAAACGAGUUGAUGAAGCCUCCAAGGCGGCGACGAGGGUACGUGUGGAGCAUGUGUGGUUUGGUGUGGGUAACAUGAUAGGAGAGGUGGUAUUGGGGUGUAGCGUGGUAUGGGGAUGGAUAGAGUGUUGUAUGGGGCGUGGUGCUGUGACGGAACAUGAACCGAGUCGUGGUGUGCUUUGUUGUGGCGGUUGCAGUCAGGCGACGGUGCGAACAGAGGGAGAUGCGGGAUUUGAGUUAUUGGAUAUACUUCUGAGCAAGGUGAGUGAUCAGAGACCGGUGCGGUGUGGAUUCGGGAAUGCGGCGGCGUGCCAUUGCGGUGGGGGGUUUGUUGUAUUUUGUGUGUGUGUGUGUGGGGGGGGGGAUGAGUGGUAAUAACGGGCGUGUUACGUGGUUUUGGGGUAGUUGGGGCAGCGGUGGUACAGGAUGCGGGGUGGUAAUGUGUGGGCGUACUGUGGUGCAGGGUGGGUGUGGGGACGUAUCGAAUUUUGGGUGUUCGCCGCCGUACUUCUGCGGGUCGCCUCCGAGUCGGUCGGGGAAUCCGCUGAUUCACGACGUGCAGUUCCUGCAGAGAGCUCAGUCGGUUCUGUCGCAUCAGGUGUCGGGUCGCGGGCCGAAGUCUUUCGGCGGGAAUCCGAUGGUGCGAGUGGAGGGGUUUGCGUCGGGCGGUGCGGACUCGCGGUCUCGAGUAUCGGCACUUGCGUGACGGUAGGGUGGGGGUGGAAGUGGAGACGUUGUAGGUAGCGAGAGAGAAAGAGAGAGAGAGAGAGAGAGAGAGAGAGAGUGUGAUAUUGGAGAAGGCGAUGCCAGUGGGAGGGCGAAUAGAUUUUUGGUAAUGAUUUUGUGACGCUCCAAACGCGGUCAGAUGAAGUCGAAGGUGCACACAGCGGAAGCGGUGCUGGGUGUGCACGAGACGGCCCAGAGGAAGUCCGAGGAAUCAGGUUUGACUGAUUUGGAGGUUGGACACGCGCGCAGCGGUGUAGAGGCGUGGUCGAAGGAUCCUGGGGGAGGUGGCUUUUUUUCGAGUUUGGAGAGUAUUUUUCUUUUUAUACUUUUUUUAUAGAAUAUUUUUUCGCAUAGUUAUUUUGGAAGUAUUUUCUUGGUGACUUUUUCUUGAAAAUUGGAAAGAUUUGAUCCCUGUACACAUGACGGAGCAGAUGUAGUGAGACAGUUUAGCGAGCAGCGGCGAGGAAACCAGGAAAUCGGUUGAAAGCGCCAUGAAUUGGUGCGUGGCACAGCCCAGCGUGUUGGGUUGAGUGCAUGGGGAGAGAGAGAGAGAGAGAGAGAGAGAGAGGGGGAAUUUCCGGAUAUAGUUGUUCAAAAUUUUGACGGCGUUUAGUUCUGUACAUACACGCGACCCUGUAAUCUUACUGUAAGCGUUUCCCAUUGGGUGUGUCCAUGUAAUUUACGAGCCCUUUGACGAGGUGCAGCCUGUACUACAACAUUUGUGCAAAUAAAGCGUCCAUUACCUUGAUGAAGGAGUUGAGGGGGAAGGGGGUGUGUGGGUGCGGGUUGCGGCAAUGUGUGGGAAUGUUGGUGGGAUGUGCGCAUGAGUUGAUGUGGAGUGGGUUGUUGAAAGGUGGGUGUGGUGGUGAGAGGAGUGUAUAUGGCGAGAGGCGAGUGGAGGUUGGGUUGGGUGUGCGAGAUGUAGACGUGGGUGGCGGUUGAUGCGGCUGUGUUGGGAAGUAGGGGAUGGCGGUGAUGCGAGUAGUGUGUGGUCCGCAUGCUCAGGGCUUUGUGAAUCGGUGAUCCUUGUCGAAAGGGGUUUGGAACCAUGUUAUGACGCUUGUUCAAGUGGGGAUUUGUCAUGCAUCUGUGGGACUACUUCAUUACGAAACGAACACAACAUGAUUGGAUGUCUUUUCCAAGUUGACUUUACGUAAAGAACAAUAUGCUGAGAUAUGAGUUUGUGGUUGGAAGGGUUACAUGCCAUGUUGUCACAGAAUCCUAUUAAGAGUUUUCUGGAGGAAGUGGCUCUUUGGAAGUCAAUCCAUUUGGAAAACAUAUCCUUUGGGUACGGUCUUUCCUAAGAUUUUAAGACUCAUGCCAUGAAAUAGAUAAAGUUGCUACCUGUGUUGGGGUUUACAAAUUCAAUGUGGGUUUGGUAGGAGUUGAGAGGGUUGGGUUGAGAAAAGUGUGGGACAUCUUUAAGUAUCAUUGUAUUCAAGUCUUAGGAUUUGUGAGGAUGUUUACUAGGUCAAAAAUCAUUAAUUAUUUGGUUGUAUAGUAAGUCAAUUUCUUAAAGAAAUUAAAGUAAGAAUGACAAAUCAUAUACUAUGAUAAAGUGUUUGGUGUUAUAAAGUAAAAUAAGAGGUUAGAGACAGAAAUGUAAUUUGGUUAGGAAGUGGAAAUCAGAUCUUUUCUGGGUGAUGGUUUUCAGGAAGAAGAAAACUAAGGAAAGAGAAAUUAAAACAAUUUUUUUUUAAAGUAGAGUCCUUGCAAUUCAAUUUUUUUUGUUCAAGAUGUUUAAGUUUGAAUAUAGUAAAGUCUUGUUGAUUCUUAUUUAAGAAGAAAAUGAAGAGAAAAGUUGCCUUGAAGUAAGAGUUCAAAUAAUUCUAAAAUCCAAGAAAAUAGUUGCAUAAAAAAUAUUUUGAAGAAGUUUAUAUUUUGAGUAGUAGAAAUUAUUUGGAUUUGGAUUUGAAGAAGAGAUUUGAAAGAAUUUAAAGGAAGGACUAUACUUCUAGGCCAAAUUAGAAAAUUACUAAACUUCAAGCAAAGAAGGAAGUUUAAUGAUAAACAAGAGAACAUUAAAGUAAAUUGAGAUGGUAAAAGAAAGAAGUUUUAUGGUUUAAAGCAUAAUAGCUAUUCUUGUUACAAACAUUAAAGCAAUGGAUGUACAGUUAAAAGUGCGAAAGACAACCAAAUAAAAUAAGAUUUGAUUUCAAAUUAUAAAAAAAGUCUAAAUAUAAAUAUUUAAAGAAAAGACUCUCCAAAUUUUUAAAUCUCAUCUCAAUUCAAAUAAAAAAUAAGAAUAAGAAUAAAAAGUUUAAUUAAAGAAUCAAUUUUAGUUCUAAAUUUUUUAGUAAAGAAAAAAAGUCCUUAGUAAUAAUUAUUUUCUUAUUAUCUAUUUUUUUAAUAAAAAAAUAUAGGUAAUUAAAAAAAACCAUCUAGAGUAGUAACAUAUUGAUAUUAAUUUUUACAAAUGCAAUUAAUAUAUUUAUAUACAUGCAAUAUAUAAAAAAUUAAAUUAUAUUUUAAUUAUAAAAAAAAAUUAAAAAUUGUAAUUAGAAACUUAGAAAUAAAUUAUGAUAGGCAAGAAUGUAAUAUUUAAUUAAGAUAUAUAAAAAUUUAAAUAAGAUUUUGCAAAUUAUAUCUAUUGUGAAAUAGAUUUAAUAUCAAAAACUAUUUUUCUAUUAAGUUGUAUAUUUUAAGUAGUAAUUCUAAGUAUAAAUAGUAAUAAUCAAUAGAAGUACUAAUCCUAAUACCUUAUUAUAUAUCCUUAUAUAUUAAGUGGUAAUUAAGUAUAUUUAAUUAAGAAUUUUUUAGUAUUCUAUUUUUUGGCAUAAUUUUUUUUAAAAAAUAGUCCAUUUAAAUUAUUAUGUAUUUAAUAAAAUAAUUAAUAGUAAUAUUUAUUUAAUAUUUAAAAAUAUAACUUGUAGAUUGUUAAAAAAGAAGUAUGGUUUCAUUAAUCUUUAGUCACAUUUCUAUUGAAUUUAUGUUGUAGUAAUUUCUUUCUUAAGCAUGCACUAUAUUAAAUAUGUAUUUAGAUUAAAUAUACAAAAUAAAUGAUUAGAAAUAUAGUUCAAGUUGAUAUUGCUUUAUUUUAAUUUAAACAUAUCAAACAAUAUUAGUUUGUUAAAGAUUUUUGUUUCUUUGCAUAUCUUUUAAUAAUCCUAUUACAUAUAGUAAAAAAUCUCAAGAAAUCUACUAAAUGAUUUUCAAUAACUUCAAUCAACUUAAUAGAUCUCAACUAUGAUUCUACUUCAAUAAGAUGUUUUAAUAGUUUGUUAAUAUCCAAAAAUCUAUAUUGUUGCUAAUAUUGCUAAGUUGUAUUAUUUCUUAAAGCAUCAAUUUCAUCUUAUUCAAUUGUCUUAUUUUCUUGAAUCAUAUCAAGAUUUACUUAUUUUCCUCACAAUCAUUGAAUAGAUCAUCUUGCCACUUAUUUUUGGCUUUUUUAUCUAUUAAAAAAAUACUCAUUCAUCUCUUCAUGUGUGAUUAUCAAAUUUAUUUUUUUGAAUAUAUUUAAUAUUCUAUUAGCUAUUAAAUCAAAUUUGGAGUCUAUUAGCUACUUUGAUAAAUUAAUAUUGGAUACUUUCUAUUUUUUAUUCAUAUCUACUUUUGUAUAGCAAUUUGAAAUAGUUUUUAGUGAAAUUUUUAUUCAAGGCUCUUAUAACAUAUUUUGCAACACCGAAAAAAUAAAGAAGUCAUCUUUGUAUAAUAUUGACACUGCCUUAUAUCAUUUUUUAUGAUUGAAAUUUGAGUGUUUUUUUUGUUAUUUUAUUAUUUUUUUGAUAAAAAAUAAUCAUAUUAGAAUUUUUUAAUUAUAUUUUUUUAAAUUAAUAUUUUUAUUAGAUUUUUUUUUGUCUUCAAGUUCUAUUUUCUACUUAUCUUGAGUAAUAUUAGACAUCUUCUUUUUUAUUGUCCUAUUAUAGCAAAGCUUAUUGAAAUGGCACAAAUGCAAGAACAAAUAAAAGACUUAAUGUUUAAAAUGCAUCAAUUCAAUUUACUGCAACUAGAAGCAAAAUAAUUGAUAAGAAGUGAAGAUAUAGAAAUGAUUAAAGUUACUAAAGUAUCUAUAUCAAAUCAUAUUAUUUUUUCUAUGGUGGAAUAUUAUUCAAGUAUUAGAAAACUAAAAGUUGCCUUAUUUGAGAAGUUUGAUGAUACAAAAUAAAUAUUUCAUAAAUUUAUCAAUUAAGCUAUUUAACUUCAAGGUUACAAAUCAAAUUUAUUGAAAUAUUACUUUUAGAUUUUGUUUUAUCAUGGUAUUCAUCUUUUUUUUAAAAAUAAGAUUUAAAAUUGAAUAUUUUAUAGACUCUUUUGGCAAAGUUUUGACUCAUGUAUGAAAAAUAUGAUAUAACUUAUAUUGUAACUAAUAAGAUUUUUGUUUUUUGACAUAAGAAUCAAUGAAUAAUAUUAUGUAUUUCACAAUUUUGAUAACUUACAAUAAAUAUUAAAUAGCAUGAUAUUGAAUUCAUUACCCAAUUUUUCUAUAGAUUAUAAUAUAAGGUAAAUAAGUUUAUAUUGAACUUAUCUAAUUCUUAGACAUUGAACCAAACAAUUGACUUUGUUAUGAAGUUUGACAAUUGACUUUUUGAAUUUUGAUCUGAGAGUUGUAUAAGUGGACCUCAAUAUUUUUAAAUUUUAAUAGCAAUAUCUAUACCUUAUCAAUGCAUACAUUUUAAAGUAGAAGACAUGCAAAUAGACAUGGUACAUUUUAAAGCUCUAUCAAAAAUAUAAAUCUUGAAGAAUUGAAAGAUUAAGAUAUUCUUGUGUCAUUCAAAAAGACUAAAUAAUUACUCAAAAAUGAUAGAAUAUUAAACUAAAAUAGCUAUUUCUAAGGAAAAAAAGAUUGAAAAGUUUUUAAAAAAGACUAAGAACUAAAUAAGUGUUGACAAAAGUAAAGGAGGCUUCACUCUUACCUCCAUAUAUAUUGUCUAAUUAGUAGCUAUGUAGUAAUGUGCUACAAAACCUCCAAUACAUAUUGACUUUGUAAGGUACAUAUCUUAACUUGUAAGGCAAGUUUUUUAUAUGUGUGCUACAUAAUUAGCUUAUUUUUUAAGCUAUCAAUACAUAUGAUACAUUGUUAAUUUAUUGACUAAGUUUCUAACCUAUCAAUCUACUACAAAUAUGUUUAAAGUCAAAAUUGUAUCUAUGAAGCUUUUAAAAAGCUAUUCUAGAAGAUAUUAUAAAAUUAAUCUACUUUUAUAUACUUCUACUUAAUCAUAUAGAUAAUUAUUGAAAUAAAUAUGUGUGUCCAUGACAUUAUCUUUUCUUCUAAAGAUAAGUUCUUUGAAGAGCAGUCAUCAUUUUUCAUGGAUCUUAUUAUUCUUUAUCUUGGUUUUGAUAGAUGUCGUGAGUGAAAAGCCUAAAUCUUUUUAGCUACAUUUGCAAGAUUUUUUGUUGGCUCUUAUGUGCAUUCAUUAAUAUCCUAUUCAUGCUAAUAAACAAGAUAUUUCAACCUAUUUUGGUAUUGCCUUAAAUCUAAAACUUCUUCCACUUCAAAUUUUUGAUUAUUAUUUACUUCUAUAAGAAGAGGUGGUAUUUUUUUUUUUUUUUUUUUUUUUUUUUUUUUUUCUUUUUGAAAUACUCAUUAUCUUAUACGGCUAAAAAAAAUUAUAUAGAAUAUAAGAUAGAUCUUUAUAAACUCCAAUGGAUGUAAUUGAUAAGCAAAAAGAUUGACUUAUUUACUAAUAGAAAAUAGUCUAAGCCUAUGAUAAUCUAACUUCCCACAAAAAUUGCUAGUCUUCAUAUUGUGAUGAAAUAACCAUAUCUUAUUGCCAAUGUGGAAUUGAGGUUGCUCCUUGCAAUAGGCAUCCAAGUUAGUUUUUUGUCAUUCUUGAGCUUCUUUUAAAUGUAUCCUUAUUGUUGUAUGUAGCUCAAAUAAAUAAUUUGCUAAAUCUUUCAUCACAUAAUGAUCAAAUUUUGAGAAGUCAAAAACAUCAAGAUAUAGAUGAUAAUAAAAAUUAGCCAAAAUUUUUUUUUAUUGUAUUAAAUAAUAUAUUAUAUUAUUAUAAGUAUACUUUAUAAAUAAUAAAAGUAUUAUUCAAUCAUCUUGUUGGUAGUUGAUGGUAAACCUUAAAUAUUAUUUCAAAUCUUGAUUUAUAUAUUCUACCUAUCCAUCAAUUUGAAGAUGAAAAAUUAAAGAGAGCUUUAUAUCUACCUUUAGAAUUUUAAAAAGAUUCUUCAAAAUCUUCAUAUAAAUUGAGUCUCCUAUCCAAUAUAAUAUCCUUGAGCAAUUCAUAAUAACAACAGAUGUUAUCAAAAAAAAUCUUAGCUAUUUCUUGACUUGUAAUAGAUUUUAUACAUAAUACAAAAUGUACUAUCUUAGUAAAAAAAUCUAUCAUUAUGAAUAUCAAAUUAUAUAAAUUUAAAACUAGAAGAUCUAUAAUAUAAUUCAAAGAAACAAAAGACUAUGGUUGUUUUGAAAUAGGUAAUGGCUAAAGAAGUUUAUAAGAUUGAUGACAAAGAGUUUUUGAUCUGUAUUGUAGAUCUUAUAGUUAAUUUUGGCUAUUAGAGAUUUUUUGGAAUGAAAAGCUACUAGGUGGAUUUUUUUUUAUCUACUACCGUUUUUGACAAAAUAAAAUCCAUAGUAAAGUUUGAUGUGUCUGUUUGCAUGAAAAAUGCAUGAAAAAAAUGACACAAUUCAAGAUUAAUGUAAAAUUAAAUGAUAUCUUCAAGGCUUCAAAAGAUGCUUUAGCUUCUUUUUUCUAUUUAAAUUUUUCUUUACAUGUCAAACAUGUAAGAGGAGCCACAACUUGAAAUAAAUUUUUGAUAAAGUUUUGAUAAUAAUUAAAAAAUUAUCAAGGAUAUGAAUCUUGAAGAAAGAAAAUCCUGAAUACACUCUUGUAUCAUUGAAAAGAACUAAAAAUUUACUUAAAGAUGAUAUAAUAUUGAACUAGAAUGGCUAUUACCAAAAAUAAAAAGAUUAGAAAGAUUUGAAAUAAGACUAAAGACUAAAAAGGUGUUGAUAAGAAUGAAGAAGGCUUCACUCUUGCUUCCAUAUAUACUCUCUAACUAGAAGCUAAGUGGUGAUAUUCUAUAGGACCUCCAACAUGUAUUGACUUUGUUAGCUAUAUGUAUUAACUUGUAAGGCAAGUUAUCUAUGUAUGUGCCAUAUAGUUAGCUUGUUUCACAAGAUACUAUAUGGAGUUAUCUUAUUCCAUAAGCUACUAAUAAGUGGUUAACUUGUUGCCCAAGUUUUUAUCCUACAAAUUCAUCUAAAGUCAAAAUCGUAUCUAUAAAGCUUCUAUGAAGCUUUUCGAGAAGACUUUAUGAAAUUAAUCUAUAUUUACCUACUUCUAUCUAAUUAUAUAAGUGACUAUUGAAAUAAAUAUAUAUAUCCAUGAUAUUACCCUCUUUUUUAGGAACGAGUUCCACAAAGAGGAGUUAUCAUUUUUCAUAGAUCUUUGCAAUUCUUCAUCUUAGUUUUGAUGGAUGUCAUCAAUCAAAGACCUCAAACUACUUUAUUGCAUUUGUAAGAUUCUUUGUUGACUCCCAUGUGACUAUAUCAUAUCAUUGUUUACUAAUAUCAUAUCCAUGCCAAUGAAUAAGAUAUUCCAACCUAUUUUGGUGCCACCUUGAAUCUAAAACUCUUCCACCUUAAAUUCUUGAUUAUUAUCCAUUUUUAUAGGAAGAGGUGGCAUUUGUCUUUUUUUUGAGAUAUUCACUAUCUUAUAUGGCUCAAGAAGGGACACGUGAAAUAUAAGGUGGAUCUUCAUAGACUCUGGUAGAUGUAAUUGAUAAGCAAUAGAAUUGAUUUGUUCACAAAUAAAAAAAGGUCGCAACAUAUAAUAGUCAUAAGGACAAGUAGUCUUGAUAUUGCAAAGAAAUAACCAUACCUUAUCACCUACAUUGAAUUGUAGAUGCUCCUUACAAAAGGCAUCUGGGUAGGUCUUUUUUCACUCUUGAGCUUCCUUUAAUUGUAUCUUUAUUGCUACAUGUAGCUCUAACAAAUGAUUUGCUAAAUCUUUUGCCAUAAGAUUAUUAACUUUUGAAAAGUCAAAAGUAUCAAGUCAUGGAUGAUAACCAUAAUUGGCAAAGAAAGAUGUUUAUUGAGUAGAAGAAUGUAUCAAAUUAUUAUAUUCAAAUUAUGCCAAUGAUAAAAAAGUUGUCUAAUCAUCUUGAUGAUAGUUGAUGGUACAUCUCAAAUAUUGCUCCAAAACUUAAUUCAUCUAUUCUAUUUGUCUAUCAAUUUGAGGAUGAAAAGCCAAAGAGAGUUAUAUAUCCAUCUUUAGAAUUUUAAAUAGGAUUCUCCAAAAUAUUGAUAUAAAUUGAGUCCUCCUAUCUGACAUAAUAUCCUUUAAUAAUCCAUGAUAGUUAUAGAUAUUGCCAAUGAAAAGCUUAGCUAUCUUUUCACCUAAAAUAGAUUUUGUACAUAAUUGAACUUAAAAGAUCUGUAAUAAAAUUCAUAGAAAUAGAAGACCAUGAUUGUUUGGAUACAUGCAAUGGUUGAAGAAGUCCAUAGGAUCAAUAACGAGGAGUUUUUGAUCUUGAAUAAAUGUUAUAUGACUAAAAAAAGUCUUUCACUACCUUCCACAUUUGUAGCCACCAAAAAACUUUGGAUAUAAGCUUUAAAGUCUUAUUGUAUCUAAAAUGUUCUGUUGCUAGAAAUUUUUAAUGUGCUUGAAGAACACUUAAACAUGCUUCUUCUUCAAAAACAUAUAGACAUCUCUUGAAGUAGAAUAGGUUAUUUUUGAAGUCAAACUUUGAAAUAUUAUAAAACUUAGAAGAAAGAUUCUUGAUAUUAUGAACAAGAGGAUCAAAAGAAUUUAUUUGACAAAAAUCAAAUCAAUAGUCCAUGUUGAUUUCAUUGCUCAAGGAUGAAAAUACUCUUGCUUCAAGAAGAUUGUUUUUUAUUGAUUAAAAGAUAAGUAUUUUUUUUUUUUUUUUUUUUUUUUUUUUUUUAAAUUUAAGACAAGAGUGUCUAGAAAGAGUAUCUAAUAAACCUUAUUUUUUUUUAAGUCAAUAUGUAAUUUUGAAAUCAAAUCUUGAUAAUAACAUGCUCUAAUGAGCUUGGCAACGAUUCAAAAUAAUAUAUGCUAAUAUAAAAUACUUGAGGUUUUUAUGAUUUGUAUAUAUUAUAAUUGGACUUAAAGUGCCUUCUAGAUAAUGAUGCCAUUCUUGAAAUGAAUCCCUAAUUGUACAAAGUUCUUUGCUGUGGAUUUCAUAGUUAAUCUUGACUACUAAAAAUUUCUUAUAAUAGAAGCUACUAGAUGGAAUUUAUUAUCUAUUCCCAUUUGUGACAAUACUACAUCCAAGGCAAAGUCUGAUGCAUUUGUUUUCAUAAAGAAUUCUUUAAAAAAGUCGAUGCGAUACAAAAUUGGUACAAAAGUAAAUUCCUUCUUGAAAGCAAUAAAUGAUAUUUCGGCUUUUUUAUUCCACUCAAGUUUUUCUUUACAAGUCAAACAUAUAAGUGGAGUUACAACUUGGAAAAAGUUCUUGAUAAAGAUUUGGUAAUAAUUGACAAAGCUCAAAAAGCAUUGUACAUCUCUUACUGUUCUUGGGAACUUCUAAUCUAUGAUAGUUUGGACCUUCUUUGGAUCCAUCAUAAGGCCUUCAUUGGAAAUGAUGUAUUCCAAAAAGUCAACUUGAAUAGUAUGGAAUACACACUUUUCUAUCUUUGUGUAUAAUCAUGCAUCUUUUAGUUUUUAUAAUACUUAAAAAAUAUUAACUUCAUGAUCUUUUGUGUUCUUAGAAUAGAUUAAAAUAUCAUCCAGAUAACAAAUGAUAAAUCAUCAAGAAAAUCAUGAAAAAUAUCAUUCAUUAGAUGUCAAAAAAUAGCUAGUACAUUUAUGAAUCCAAAAGGCAUGAUAUUAUAUUCAAAAUGUCCAUACCUAGUUUGAAAAUCACUCUUCUAUUUAUCUCCUUCUUUAAUGUAGACUAGGUUAUAUGCUCAUCAUAGAUCUAUUUUUGUAUAGGUCUUUACUUGAUUUAGUUGAUUAAUAAUUCUUGAAAUGAAGGUAGAAGAAACCUAUAUUUGAUAGUGAUCUUAUUAAGUCCUCGAUAAACUAUACAUAUUCAUAGAGAUCUAUCUUUUUUUCUUUACGAAUAAGAUAGGAGUAUCGGUUGGAGAUUUAAAAUGGCAUUUCAAGUUCUUAACCAAGUUUUCAUCAAUAUACUCGUUGAGUGUGGCCAAUUCAUUUUGUGAUAGGCUAUAGAUUAGUCCAAAUGGUGGUUGAGUUCCUUCUUGAAGAUUGAUGGUAUAAUCAUAAGGAUGAUGCUUUGGAAUAAUAUAUAUAUUUUUUUUUUCAAAAACAUCUUGGAAAUCUUGAUACUGAUUGAGAAUACUAGAUAUCUUUUUACCAUCAACAAUGGAUGUGGCAUAUAUAGCAAAAGAUGGUCCUUCAUUUUCAGCAUGCAUGAAAGCUCUUACACCUACUAUUAAUAAUUUGGAUGUACUAGACUUAUAGAUUUCUACUUGCCUAGUAGAACCAUGGACUAAACCAUGCAAAAAAUUAAGAUUGCAAGAAAUUUAAUCUAUCUGAAGGUUAUAUCUUUCUAACCAUGAUAAUCCUAAAAUAAUUGGAUUAAAAGGAAAUUUAAUUAUAUUAAAUAUUACUAAACUAUUGUAACUACUAGUUGCUACUUCUAUAUAAAUAGUUUCAUGUGAUAUAUCUCGAGAAGACAAUGAAUGUCCAUCUAUUACUUGGACAUACAUAGGUUUGAUUUUAUUAAUUAAAAAUAUAUCUUAUUUUUUGACAAAGUCUUUAUGUAUACAACAAGAUGAGGCUUUUGAAUCCAAUAAGACCAAGACUUUGUGAUUUUUUGGUCCUAAACAGACUUCUAUUAUAAAACAAGGUAAAGGAUCAGAAUAAAGAAUAAGAUUUUUAUUAGAUGUUGUACAUGAUUCCAACCACACGGUUCCUAUUGUAACUAGAGCAACUUAUUUUUUGACACAUUAUCUUCUUUGGCAAUCAUGCUUUUCAUUUUGUAAUUAGAUUGUUUCUUAGGACAAUAUUGAACAAUAUGUUUAGCUUCUUUAUAAUAUAAGCAUAAGCCUUCUUGACAUCAUCAACUCUUUUUCUGCUCUGUGAGAGAUUUUAAAUGUACCUUUGUGAUAUUAUGUGUUGUCUUUGUUUAGGAAUGCAUCGGGCACCUAACUGUAGAAGGUGAGGUUGUAUUUCACAAGUAUCUAAGAAAUCCUAAUAGAUUUCAUCCAUAUGAAAAGAAUGUAAUCCAAAUUUUAAUUCAAAAGUACUAAAAAGUACUCUUUUUAGUAGCCUUAAUCAUAUAUAAAUCUCAAUUACUUUGUUACUUUUAUAUUUAAGUAAUUUAGAUUUUUCUUAUAAGCCCCAAUUCUAAUUAAUGAACUUUAAUAAGCUGUAACUUCUAAUUUAAUUGUCUACUUGAUACAAAAUUUUGCAUGCAAUUGUUAAUAUAAGUCUUCUAUACGCUUAAGAAUUUUGAGCCCAAUCCAACUUACAGAUUAUGAGAAAACCUCCAAAAAUUGCACUGAUGUCACUUGGCCACCAACUUGAAAAGUGAAGCAAAAAUCUUAGCAGUGAUUUCUCCUUUUCUAAUUUUUAAUUUUAACUCAAAAUUGAUAUGCAAAUUAUUCUUUAAGUCUUCCAACAUCAAGCCAAAUUUCACCUUGAUCUGACUAGUAGAUCUCUAGAUAUCAUAGAAACCCUACCCAAUUCCAAAUUACCAACUUCUAAAACCCUCUUGUGCUAAAAACCAGAUAUCUCAAAAAUACACUAUUAAAUUAUCAAAAAAUAUUGUAUACACUUAGCACAUCCAAUAAUCCAAAUAAUACCAAAUUUUGAAUUAUAGAUGCUACACCAAUUGUACAAACUAGCCAAAAUUACUAGCCCUAAUUAUAUUAUAUAAAACCCAAAUCACCAAUAUAAACUCUGACUUUGAACAAUAAUUGCUAAGUCUUAAAAAAUCCUACAAAAACAAUCUUUAUACCUUUAAAAAGAGCUUUAAGUUAGCUUUCAAAUUCUAAUCUCUAAUCUUCAAAUAAAAUCCUAAUUUUUCCUAGGUGGUCAUUUUAAAGAUUAGAGGUUGAUUUCAAUUCCAUCUCACAAAUGGUCAAUCCACGUGUAUCAAUCUAAUCUAUUCUAAGGAUUUUUUAGUCCAUUCCUAUUGUUAACUUGAUCUUAGUAUCAACCAUAUCAACCAUUUAUCUCUUCUAUCUUAAUUUUAAUAAUUUAUGGCCUUUCUAAGGUAGUAAAAAAGUUUCUAUAUUCUAGAAGGUAAAAAUACUAUCUAACUUUUAUCUACUUGCUAUUAAGCCAAGAAAAUAGGCUAAGAGGCUUUCAUAAAAGCCUUAUUAAAAUAUUUUGAAUUCUUAUUGAAUUAAUAUAAUAGAAUAUUAAUUAAAAAAUUAUUUUUAAUUAUAUUUUUAUCAUAUAAUCGUGUCAUAAUACAACACCAUAUCAAUUAGCAUUAGUUUUGGCUUUCAUAAAUAAGUUUUUGAAAACUUAGGAGCUGUAAUCAUUAUUUGGUUUUUUCUUCUUCAGCCAUAUCUUUGUUCUUGAUGUAUUUCAAAUAAUUGAUUAUCACAUGCAAUGGCUUCAGCAAUAAAUUGUUCUAAAGAUUUUGUCUUUGGCAUUGUCAAUAACAAGUCUUUCAUACUAUCCUUUAACCCAUAUGAAAAUUGAUUGAUAAGGACUUUAUCAUUUCAGUCUACAUUAUAAGUGAGAUUUUGGAAUUUAAUAGCAUAUAUUAUGGUUGACCAUGAUCCUUACUGUCAAGAUUAGAACUUGGUCUCUACUACUCUUUCUCAAUCACUUUCUCCAAAUGUGGCCAUAAACACUUUUAGGAAUGAAUUCAACUCAUAAAGAAGUCACAAAUCUUUUUCUAUCAAAGAUGCAAAUUAAGAGAGAACACUUCUUGAUAGAAGUACCUUUAUAAAUCCGACUUCAAUAAAUCCAUUGAAAUAUUGGAAAGGAUGCAAUCUUAGAUAGAGCUUGACUUGUUGUAAAAAUCCUCAAAAUUUUGAUCUUAUUCCAUCAAACUUAUUAGGCAUACUAAUCCUUGUCUCUAUGAUACAUGUAGAAGCAAAACUCCUUAGAUUUGAUUCUAACAUCAAUCUACUUGCUUCUUUGAAGUGUACAACUUCUUACCAUAAACUCUGAACUUCUUUUGUAGGCGUAGAUAUAGUAACUUCGUGAUUCACAUUAAAAAUAUAUGAGAUUUCCAUUCUUAGAGUAUUGACAAGCUCAUGAAGAUUUGUAAUAGUUGUAAAUCUAUUUUUAUUUCUACUAAGAGUAGCAUUCUUAAUCUUUCUUUCUAUAGAUAAGUCAAAAAAAUUCAAAAAAUUAAAUUAAAAGAGGGUAAUCCACAACCUCUAAUAAAAAUUCUACAAAGAAGGGUACUUUACUUUCUUUAAGAAAAAUAUCACUGUUAAAAAAUAAGAUUUUUUUGUUUAAAGGUGGAUAGUCCAAAACUUUCAAAAUAUAACAAUAGAAGUGGAAUAAUCUAUUGACUUUUUAAACAAGACAGAAGCAGUUAGUUAGCACUCUUAUCAAACUAUCAAGGACAUGAAUCUCAAAGAAAGAAAAUCCUCAAGUCAGUCUUGUAUCAUUGAAAAGAACUAAAAAGUUACUUAAAGAUGAUGUAAUAUUGAAUAGAAUGGCUAUUUUUAAAAAUAAAAAGAUUAGAAAGUCUUGAAAUAAGACUAAAGACUAGAAAGGCAUUGAUAAGAGUGAAGAAGGCUUCACUCUUGCCUCCAUAUAUACUCUCUAAUUAGGAGCUACGUGGCGAUAUUCUAUAGGACCUCCAACAUGUAUUGACUUUAUUAGCUAUAUGUCUUAACUUGCAAGGCAAAUUAUCUAUAUAUACACCACAUAGUUAGCUUGUUCUACAAGCUACUACAUGAAGUUAACUUGUUCCAUAAGCUACCAAUAAGUGGUUAACUUGUUGACCAAGUUUCUAUCCUACAAAUAUAUCUAAAGUCAAAACCAUGUCUAUGAAGCUUCUAAGAAGCUACUCUAAAAGAAUUUAUGAAAUUGAUCUAUAUUUAUCUACUUCUACCUAAUCAUAUAAGUAACUAUUGGGAUAAAUAUAUAUGUCUAUGAUAUAAAUUUCAAAAAUUAUUGUAAUUUUUUGACUAUUUUUGAAAUCUUCUAAUUUAUGAUAGUCAAGACUUUCUUAAGAUCUAUGAUAAGGACAUCAUUUCAAAUGAUGUAUCUUACGAAGUGAACUUAAAUACUAUGAAUUUUAUACUUUUCCAUCUUAGCAUAUAAUCCUACAUCCUUUAAUUUUUGUAACAUAUAAUAAAUAUGAAUUUUAUAUUCUUCUAAGAUCUUAAAAUAGAUUAAGAUAUUAAUGAAAAAAUAGAUAAUAAAAUCAUCAAGAAAAUUAUGAAAUACAUCAUUCAAUACAUAUUGAAAAGCAACCAAUGCAUUUGUGAGUCCAAAAAACAUGACAUUAUAUUUGAAAUAUCUAUACUUCAUUUAAAAUAAUUUUUUUCAUUUAUCUCCUUCUUUAAUAUAUUCUAUAUUAUAUGUUCUUCAUGGAUCUAUUGUAAUAUAGAUCUUUGCUUGAUUCAAUUGAUCCAAAAGUCUUAAAAUUAAUGAUAGAAGAUAUCUAUUCUUGAUGGUAAUUUAAUUGUAUUAUUAAUAAUCUACAUACAUUUGCAAAGUUCUAUAUUUUUUCUUCACAAAAAAGAUAGGAGUCUCAAUUAGAGAAUUAAAAUGGCAUAUGAAGUUUUUAGCCAAAUUUUCAUCAAUGUAUUCUUUGAGUGUAGCCAAUUUAUUUUGUGAUAGGCUAUAAAUUGGUCUAAAAGGUAAUUGAAUUUCUUCUUGAAGAUCAAUGGAAUAAUCAUAGAAAUGAUGCUCUAAGAAAAUAUCUACAUUUUUUUUUGAAAAUAUCUUGAUAAUCUUGGUAUUGGCUUGAAAUGCUACUUAAAAUCUUUUCUUUAUAUAUAAAAGUUGUGGCUUAUAUAAAAAAAAAUUGAUCCUUCUUUUGUAACAUGUAUAAAAAUUCUUAUAUCUAAUAAUAAUGAUUUGGAUGUAUUGGUCUUAUAGAUUUUUUCUUGCUUACAAAAAUCUUAGACAAAAUUAUAAGAAAAAUUAAGGUUAAAAGAAAUCUAGUUUGUUUAAAAAUUAUAAUUUUUUAGCCACAAUAAUCCUAAAAUAAUUAGGUUAGAAAGAAAUCUAAGAACAUUAAAUAUUACUAUACUAUUAUGAUCACUAAUUGCUAUAUCUAAAGGAAAAAUUUUAUAUAUUACAUCUCUAGAAGACAAUAAACAACCAUUUAUAACUUUAGCAAGUACAAGUUUGAUUUUCUCAACUAAUGGUAUUUCUUAUUUUUUGACAAAGUCUUUGUUUGUAAUAUAGGCUAAGCCUCCUGAAUCUAAUAAGGCUAAGACUUUGUGAUUUUUGAUCCUAAAAAAACUUCUAUUUUAAAACAAGGUGAAAGAUUUGAAAAAAAAAAAAAAAAAAAAAUCUUUAUUAAGUAUUAUGCAAGAUUUCAACCAUAUAGUUCCUAUUAUAGUUCAAAAAACUUGUUUUUUGUCACAUUAUCCUCUUUCACAACCAUGCUCUUUAUUUUGUAAUUAUAUUGCUUUUUUGAAUAAUAUUAAGUAAUAUAUUUGCAUUUUCUACAAUAUAUGCACAAACCUUUUUGACAACAACAAGUCUUUCUUACUCAAAGAAAAGUUUAAAACGUAUAGUGUCAAUUUAUAUAGGCUCUAGCUUGGAGACUUAAGCUUUCAAAAGCUUAGAAGGUAUCGCCAUAGCUUGAUUUAUACCUCUUCAAUCAGAUCUUUAUUCUUAGCAUCUUUUAAAGAAUCAUUUAUUGCAUGCAAUGGCUCAAGCAAUAAAUUACUUUAAUAAAUCUAUUCUUGAUAUUAUUAAUAAUAAAUCUUUGAUAUUAUCUUUCAAUCUAUACUAAAAUUCAUUGAUAAGGGCUUUAUCAUUUCAAUCCAUAUUAUAAGCAAGAUUUUGGAGUUCAAUAGUAUUUAUGGUAGUUGAAUAUGACCCUUGUCAUAUAGAUAGGAGCUUGAUUCCUACUAUCUUUUUUCAAUUAAUUUUUCUAAAUAUAGCUAUAAAUACUUCCAAAAAUUAAUUCAAAUCAUAGAAUAUUUAAGAAUCUUUUUUCAUCAAAAGUACAAACUAAGAAAGAUCACUCUCAGAAAGAAGUGCUCCUAUGAAUCUAACUUAAGUACAUCCAUUAAAAUAUUAAAAAAAAUGUAACUUUAGAUAGAACUUUAUUUAUUAUUAAAAUCUUUAAAACUUUGAUCUUGUUCCAUCAAACUUUUCUAGCAUUCUUAUCCUUAAUUUUCUUAUAUUUAUACUAAGAAUACUCCUUGGAUUCAAUUAUAAACUUGAUCUACUUGCUUCUUUUAAUUGCAUAACUUUUGAGCAUAGACUUUCAACUUCAUUGUUGAUUUCUUCUAUGGACAUAGGAAUAGUACUUCUAUGAUUUACAUUAGAAAUAUGUAAGAUUUCUACUCUAAGAUUAUUAAUAAGCUUGUGAUAAUUUAUAAUUUUUACAAAUCUAUUCUUACUUCUAUCAAGAAUAGUAUCUAUCAUUUUUUCUUCAAUAGAUACUUAAAUAAAUUCAAAAAAUUAAAGUAAAAGGGGAUAAUGUACAACCUCAAAUAUCAAAUGAAGAUUUCUAUGAAGAAAGAUAAUCUACUCUCUUAAAGAAAAAAAUUAUUGUUAAAAAACUAACUUAUUUAUUUAAAGAUGAAUAGUCCACUAUCUUAUUAUAUAUUCUCUUAUUUAGAAAUAUACUAGGUAUCUAGCUAUAAAAAGUAAAGUUGUGUUUUAUAAGUAUCUAAGAAAAUCUAAUAUGUUUCAUUCAUAUAAAAAGAAAUGAAAUUCAAAUUUUAAUUCAAAAGUGCUCAAAAUCAAUACAAAGUGCUUAAAAACACUCUUUUUAGUGAUCUCAACCAUACAAAAACUCCAAUUACCUUAUUACUUUUAUAAUUAUAUAAUUUUGAUUUCUUUUUAUAAAUCCUAAUCUUAAAUAUUGAAUUUUAGCAAAUUAUAAUUCCUAAUUUGGCUAUUUACUUAUCACAAAAUUUUACAUACAAAUGCCACUAAAAGUCUUCUAUAUGUUUAAAAAAAUUUAAUCCAAUCCAAUUUACAAAUUGUGAAAAAACAUCCAAAAAAUUGCAAUGAUAUCACUCAGCUACCAAUUUGAAAGUUGAUUCAGAAGUUUUAGUAGCAAUUUUUCUUCUUCCAAUUAUUAACUUUAGCUCAAAAUUGAUGUAUACCGUGAUCUUCAAGUCUUCUAAUAUUAUGCCAAAUUUCACCUUAUUUCAAUUAAUAGAUCUUUAGAUAUCAUAAAAAUCCUAUUAAAUCCCAAACUGCCAACUUUUGAUACUUUCUUGUACCAAAAAUCAAAUAUCUCUCAACUACACUAUUAGAUUAAUAUAAAAUUUUAUGUAUGCUUAGCACAUUAAAUCAAUCAAGAAUAUUAGUCCUAAUUAUAUAACAUAAAUUCAAAGUCAAUAAUAUAAAUCUUAAUUUUAAACAUCAAUUGUAAAGUUAUCUCAAAUCCUAUAAAAAUAACCCUUGUGCUUCAAGAAUGAACUUGAAGCUAGCUUUCCAAUGUUAGUCAUGAAUCUCCAAAUGCUCCCAUAUUUUAUCCUUGGCAGUCAUUUUAGUAGCUAGAGGUUUGAUUUUGACCCAAUUCUACAAAUAUUUGACCUCAAGUAUCAAUCCAAUCUAUCAUAGGGAUUUUUUAGUCCAAUCCUACCUUCAACUUAAUUCUAGUAUCAACUAUAUUAAUUAUUUACUUCUUUUAUUCUAUUUUUAUUAAUUUAUGGUCUUUUUAAGGCAGUAAAAGAAUUUCUAUAGCCUAAAAGUUAAAAUUACUAUCCAACCUUUAAUCUACUAGCUAUUAAGACAAAAAAAUAAAUUAAGAAGCUUUUAUAAAAAUAAUGUUUAAAUUUCUUAAAUUAUUAUUGAACCAAGAUGAUUAAAUAUUUAUUUUAAAUUUAUUUUUGAUUAUUUUUUCAUCAUAUAGUCAUAUUAUAAUACAACAUCUAUCUCUUCUAAAACUGCAUAUCCUCUGAUAUGCACCAAAUCAACUAUAUGUCAUAAUUGACAUCAAACUAUUUCUUUAUUUUUUGUAUCAAUUCUUUCAUUACUAUUUUCACCAUCUAUUUGAGUAAAAUUAUUUCUAUAAUCUACAGUGAUCUUUUUUAUACAUCUAAGAGUCCCACAAAUUGAUCUUAAUUAGUAGAUUAGUUAAAAACAUAGUUUUAAGUUAUUCAAUUAUACAAAUAUUAAGAGUAGAGAGUUUUUUUUUUUUUUUUUUUUUGACUAUUCAAGUAUUUAUUAUAAUUUAAAAGUAUUUAUAAGUUGCAAAAGUGUUAUUAGAAGAAAAGUUAUAAAAAUAGAGUCUUAGUAAGUCUUGGAGGCAAUUAUCUUAGUUAGUUUAGUAUUUUUCUUAUUGUUAAGUAUUAAGAGUUAGUUAUUGAAACCAAUAUCUUCAUUGGCUCCUAUCUACAUGUAUUACUUAUAAAAUCCUAUCAAUGAUUAGUUAGUAGUUAGAAGAAGCAUGAAAAAGAGCUUCAUGUCUUUUUAGUUAAUUAUAUAAAAAAUAGGAUUUUUAGUAGAUUUAAAUUGAUUUUAUUACUAUAAAAAAUCACUAAGAUAGGAAAAUACAGCCUCAUAUGGAUAUUAGUAUUAUAGAAACAUUAUAGGAUUUUUUAGAAUUUAUUUAGAAUUUAUUUAGAAUUUUUUAUGAAUUUUUAGAGAAAAUUUUAAGACUUUGGUAAAAUUGAGUUUUAUCACCUUGAGAGCCAUUAUGAAAUAUGAAGCAAGAUUUGAAGACUAUGAAAAGUUUCUAGGCUAAUUGGAUGUUUUUGAACACCCUGGUAAAGUCUAAAAUGCAAAAAAAAGGUAGUUUUACUAGUAGAAAAUAGGAGGACCAGCAGCUAGUGUAAUCCUUGUAGGAAGAGAGGUGCAUAAUUUCCAUAUGGAUUGUAGCACCUUGGGUAUAGGUAGGAAGAUAAGACUAAGGACUCAAGGCCUCUUGAGGGGGAGGAUAUACACUACUUGUGAGCCUUGGUGAGGCUCGAACUCUUGAUUUCUUAAGCAAGUUAUCCUUGAGGUAAAAAUUAUUCAUUUAACUUUUCUAUUAUUUACAUUCUAUCUUUAAUCUAUCAUAACUUACUCAUAGUAACUUGAAAUUAUAUGAUUUUUAUGUCAUUGGAAAGAUAAAAAAAUUAUCUAUCUAAAAAUAUAUUUUUUUAUUUUUACUUUUACUUUUUAUUGGAUGAAAAUCCAGUGAACGGACUGUGACUUUGUUUUGGAUGAUGUGAUUACUUGAUUUCAUCUCUUUUACUUGUAUUGUGGUUGUUCCUCCUUGAUCUUUUGCCAAUUGCUUACUUCACUUCAUACCACCAAUUACAAGCAACUCUUAAUUGAGGCCAUCUUGUAAUUGGGGCUAAGGAGUGAAAUUUACACUCACAACAUCCAUAGUGACAAAUAACAUCUUUAAGCAAAAACUUGCAAAUUUCUUUUAUAUAAUUUAUUCUUAAUAUUAUGUCUUCUACUUAAUUUGAUAAAAUUUUAUAAGACAAAAUUAAAUACUUCAUUUUUCAUAGUUCUAUCGACAUAAUAACAAAAUCCACAAUCCAUUUAAAAUGAAUAGCCAAAGAAUGUAUUACAUGUAGACCAUUUAAAAGUUGUAUAUUUGAAUGCAUCUGAUAAGUUAGAUAAGAUUCUACUAACAAAGCUACAUCUUGAUAUAUAUUCUUCUACCAAUAUUAUUCCUUGAAUUUAAUAAAAAUAGUCUAAAUUACUCUAUGCUGAACAUUUUAGAUACAACAAGACUUUUGAACUAACAUUGAAAGAUUUUUUGGUAGCUUCAAAUGUUGAAAGCAAUUAAAGACUUUUUAAAAUCAUGAGAUAUUUGUUUAAGAUCCAAAAUUCUUCAUCAUCAACUUUAUGGACUUCUUUAGCCAUUACAUAUUUCAAAACAACUAUGGUCUUUUGUUUCUAUAGAUUUUAGUAUGGAUCUUCCAAUCUCAAAUUUUUAUGAUUCUAUACUUAUGAUAAUAAAUCGUUUUAUAAAGAUAGCACAUUUUGAACAAUGUAUAAAAUCUACCAUAUGUAAAGAAAUGGCUAAUUUUUUUUUUACAAUAUUUAUUGCUAUCAUGGAUUAUCUAAACAUAUUAUAUUAGAUAGAAAAACUCAAUUUAUAUUAAGAUUUUAAAGAAUUAUUUUUAAGAUUCUAAAGAUGGAUAUAAAGCUCUCUUUAGCUUUUUUUCCUCAAACUAAUGGAUAAACAAAUUAGGUGAAUCAAGUUCUAGAGCAAUAUUUGAGGUAUAUCAUCAAUUAUCAUCAAGAUGAUUGAAUAACUCUUUUGCCAUUUACAAAGUUUGCAUACAAUAAUUCAAUACACUCUUCUACUUAAUAAAUAUCUUUUUUUUCCAAUUAUGGCUAUCAUCCAUGACUUGAUAUUUUUGACUUUUCAAAAAUUAAUAAUCCUAUAGUAAAAGAUUUGGCAAAUCAUUUGUUAAAGUUACAUGCAACAAUAAAGGUACAAUUAAAAAGAGAUCAAGAAUGACAAAAGAUCAAUACAAAUGCCUAUUGUAAAGAAUAACCAUAAUUCAAUAUGGAUGAAAAAAUAUGAUUAUUCCAUUGUAAUAUCAAGACUUCUUGUACUUGUGAGAAGUUGGACUAUCGUGGAUUAGAACCUUUUUCUAUUUGUGAACAAAUCAAUUUUGUUGCUUAUUAAUUACAUUUACCUAAGUCUAUAAAGAUCUAUCUCAUAUUUCAUAUAUCUCUUUUUGAGCCAUAUAAGAUAGUGAAUAUCUUAAGAAGAAGAUAAAUGCCACCUCCUCUUAUAAAAGUGGAUAAUAAUUAAGAAUUCAAGAUGAAAGAAGUCUUAGAUUCAAGGCAGCACCAAAAUAGGUUAGAAUAUCUUAUUCAUUGAUUUAGAUAUAAUAUUAAAGAAUGCACAUAGGAGCCAAGAAAUAAUCUUACAAAUGCAACAAAGAGAGUUGAGGUUUUUUAUCGAUGACAUCCAUCAAAACCAAAAUAAAGAAUAGAAAAUCUAUACUAUAAAAGAAAUAAGAUCCAAAGAAGAUAACAUUCUACUUUCUAUCCUUGUUUGAAGCUUUUGUAUAUUAUGAUAUUAAAGAAAUGAAAAAUAAACAACCAACAAAUUUAAUUCAAGAUCUUUUAUUUUUUAACUUACAACCUUUAAGAUGAUGCAAUUAAGAUAAAGUUCUUCAAAAAUGACAUAUCUUAUCUCAAAUAGAUGACAAAAUAUAAUGUGUUUGGUAUCACAAUCUUAGAAGAGUUUCUUGAUGUUUAGUGAUUUUAUUAGACGUAGAAAAAACUCUUGACAAUAUUCCAAAUAUUUUUAUUUUGAAGGAAGUUCAAUGGCUUUAACAACAACUAAAUAAUAAGAUGGUCUUUGUGCCUAAGUAUGUAACAUUAUCAAUAGCUAAGAAGACCUAUCAACCAUCUUCAAAGAGAACAAAGAUCAAAGUAUGUGGCAAAUACAAUUUGCUACAUCUUAGAUUUUUUCAAAAUAUGAAGACCUUUUUUUGUCGAACUCAUUUCUAAAAAGAAGGACAAUAUAAUGGACAUAUAUAUUUACUCUAAUAUUUACCUAUAUGAUUAAUUAGAAGUAAAUAUAAAUAAUUUUAUUUUAUAAUAUUUUUUAGAAAAGCUUCCUAGAAGCUUCAUACAUGCUACUUUGACUUUGCAUGUAUUUGUAGUUGAUUGAUAGGUUAGAAAGUUGGUUAAUAAAUUAACUAUGUAUUGCUAGCUUACGGAACAAGCUAAGUAUGUAGCUUACAUAUAGAAAACUUACCUUACAAGUUAAGAUAUGUGUCUUGCAAAGUCAACAUAUUUUAGAGAUCCUAUAGGAUAUUGCUAUGUAGUUCUUAGUUAUCAGUAUAUAUGGAGGUAAGAGUGAAGCCUUCUUCAAUCUUAUCAAUACCUUUUUAGUCUUUAGUCUUAUUGUAAGAUUUAUUAGUCUUCUUGUCUUUGGCAAUAGUCAUUCUAGUUUAAUACCAUAUCAACUUCAAGUGACUUUCUAAUUCUUUUGAGUGACAUAAGAUUGUAUUAAGGAUUUCUUUCUUCAAGAUUCCUUAAAAAUAGUAUUCUAAAUGAUUUGUUUGAAAGAAGUUUUAAAGGUCUCAACAAUGAUGAAGUAUUAAGAUGGUCUUUUUAUCUUUGUAAAAAAUACUAUAAAUGAUUGAUAAGACCUAUCAAUUAUCUUUAAAAAUAAUAAAGAUUAAAAUAUAUGACAAAUAUAAUUUAUUACAUCUUGAACUUUUUUAACAUGUGAUGACCAUUUCUUAUAGAACUCAUUAUUAAAAAAGGAGAUAAUAUCAUGAUCGAAAAUAUUUAUUUAAAUAAUUAUCUAAAUAGUAUGAAUAAAUGAAAAUAUGUAAAAAUAGAUAGAUUUGAUAAUAUCUUAUAAAAAAGCAUUUUAAAAGCUUCAUAGACAUGGUUUGUCUUUAUAAAUUUCUAUAGAUGAUUGAUAGGUUGAAAACUUGGCCGCAUGUUCUAUAUAGUGGUGAUUUGUGGUAUAAGUUGGCCAUGUGGCUCACAUAUAGAAAACUUGUAUUGUAAGUUAGAUAUUUGUCUUAUAAAUUGGACAUAUUUUGAAGGUUGUAUAGAAUGUCAAUAUGUAACUUAUAAAUAAAUAAUAUGUAUAGAGAGACAAGAAUGAAGCCUUUUUUACUCUUAUCGAGUCAUUUUUUAUUUCUAGUCUAGUUUCAAGAGUUUCUAGUUUCCUAGUCUUUCUAAAAAACUAGAAUGGCUUUUUACUAUGUUAAUUACAUAUAAGGCUUAAUUAUGCAAAUUUUAAUUCAAUUAAAUAUGUAUUUUAAAGGAAAUAACUAUUUUCAAAGAAAUAAUACUAAAAAAAUAGCCUAUAGCAUAUAUCUAAAUUUUUUGAAUUUUUUUGUAUUACUAUUUGAUUUAUAUAAUAUACUAUCUAUAUUUUUAAUUUUAAUAGAUUCUAUUUUUUUAUUUAAUACUUAAUUAUGUCAUAAUAGUUUAAAUGAUGAUAUUUGAAUAAUACAAAAAAAUAUAAAUUAUAAAAAUUAUAUAUAUAUAUAUAUAUAUAUAUAUAUAUAUAUAUAUUUUUAAAUUUUAAAUUAAAUUUAAUUAAUAGAAGAAAAUAAAGUUAUAUCUAUAUAUAUAUAUAUAUAUAUAUAUAUGUGUGUGUGUGUAUAUAUGGUGAUAAUCAAUUAUAUGAAAUUUUUUAAUAACUAAAAUAAAAUCCUUUUAAUAAAAUAAAAAAUAUAAUGAGACUUUUAUUAAAAAUAAAUAAAUAAAUAUGAAAGUAGAAUAAGUUAUAUUAUAAAGGGUAUUAUUUUAUAUAAGUUGCUAUUGGUUAAAAGGUUGACUCUUGGUAUAUAAGAAGGCCAACAAAUAAAGUAGAUGAACAAAAAAAAGAUCUUAAGGAUAUAGAAAAUAUAUUAAAAAUAUAUUCUUAUUGUAGAUAAGAUAUCUAUGAAUUUUUUUUAAAAAUAUUGAAUGGAUGUAUUUAUCAAAGGAUGGAAGUUUUCCAUUAGGACAGCAAUCACCUCCUAUAAGUAACAGAUAUUAAAAGUGAGAAAUAUCUUAUUUCAUAUUCUUUUUGUGAGCAACCUUGCUAAUGCUAUGUGUUGAUAACUUCAAAGUUCUUUUUCUUCAAUAGAUUAUGGAUCCACUUACCUUUAAUUGUGAAGUUUAAAGUUCUUUGAAGUUUUCUUGUUGUCAGGAGUAGAUCUUAUGGUUGUUGUUGAUAUUAGAAUUUGAUAUCUUGUAAACUCUCUUUUACAUCUAGUUGUUGAUGUAGUUUUAUUCUUAAUUGUUAUUAAGUACAUUUAUUAUCUUAGAAGGUAUCAAUCACCUUAGAAUAAUAUUAUAGAAUACUAAUAUUAUAUUUCUUUGCUAAGUUACAUAAUUGAUGCACUAGUAUUAUUCUUUUGUGUGUUAAAUUUCUUAAGAGGUUUUCUUAUAGUGAUAAAAAAAUAUUUGUGAGAUUAAAUGUGUUCUUAUGAGAAUUAAGAGUGAUUAAAGAAUGAAAUCACUUGUUUACUCAUAAAAGAGGUAUUUUAAAUUUUUCAAGUAACAAGACCUUUUUUUAUUUAAAGAGCUUUAUCUUCUCUUUUUUUGAUUUUUUUGAUACACCUCUUCAUUAAACAUGGCUUUAAGUGAUAAUAAAGAUUUGAUAGUGAUUGAAAAGUUUAGAAAUAAUAAUUUCUACCACUAGAAGAAAAAAAUGGAUCUUUUAUUGGCUUCACUAGACUUUUGAAAUAUUGUUGAUGAAAGUGAUGAGCUUCCAAGCAAUGAUGCUCAUGUCAAGGUGAAGAAAGAUGACAUGCAUUGUGAAAAAAAGACUUUUGGCUUGAUUCUAUCAAAUUUAAAUGAUGCCAAUUUUUCACAUGUAAUUACUUACAAUGGAUGAGAAAAAGUAUGGAACACUCUUUACAACAUAUGUAAGAAUAGAAACCUUAUCAAUAUUCUAUAGACAAAGAAGAAAUUCUUAAUAAUAAAAAUAGAAGAAAGAAAUGACCUCAUAGCUCAUUUCAAAAAGGUAAUAGACUUGCAAAUCAACUAGCAAUUAUUGACAAGCUAGUUGAUCAUAAGGACAUUGUAUUGACAUUGCUCAUGAGUCUUUUUAAGUCCUACUACUAUCUCAUUGUCACAUUAGAGUCUAUCAAUAUGAAAGAGCUUACCAUGAAUUAUGUCAUAUCAAGAUUUAUCCAUGAAUUGACCAAGAAGAAAGAAAAAUAGCUUCAAAAUGAUGAUUUGGCUUUAUUUUUAAGACAAGGCAAAGGUAGAUAUUUUUACCAAUAUAAUAAUUUAAAAAGUAACAUAAAAAAUUACAAUAUUUAUAAAAAAUCAGCUUAUUUUGUUAAAAAUUACUACAAAGCUAAGAAAGGAGAUACGGAGAAUGCAUACAAUACUAGAGAUAAUUUUGGUAGAGAUGAUUAUGCUUUCAUGGCAAGUGAAGGAGCGUCUAUAAUUGCUAUGUCCAAGAGGAUUAUAGAUUUGGAUGCUACUAAGGACAUGAUACCAUAUAAAUAUUCAUUUGAUACUUAUGAAGAAAUUUCAGCAAUAAAUGUUUCAUUGGUAGACAAUGGUAUGGUAUAAGCCAUUGGAAUUGGCUCUAUUGUAGUGGAGAUCAUUGUGAAGAACCUAAUGAAGAAGAUUAGAUUGAAAGAAGUCCUACAUGUACCAAAAAUGAAGAAGAAUCUUUUUUUAGUGAGCAAACUUACAUUAUAUUGUUAUAAGAUUUAAUUUGAUAUGAAUGGAUUUUUUGUGAAGACAUUGGGUGGAGGAAAUAUUGCCAAAGGUUUGAGAGAUGGUAACUUCUACUUUAUCAAUUGUAAGAAGAUGAAUAAAAUUAAAGUGACGGUAUUUGCUCAGUUUCCACAAAAUCAAGACAAGUUUAAAAUUUGGCAUCAACAAUUUGGUUAUUUAAAUGCCAAAAGCAUGAAAGAGCUUCAAUCAAUGGUAAGUGGCUUGAAUCUUGGUCAAUUUAGCCACAAUAAUAUGACACUUGUAAAGAUUGUAUUCAAGGCAAACAACAAAGGGCUUCAUUUCCUAGAGAAGUUUCAAUACAUACUACCAAAUUGUUGGAGAAUGUGUAUUCUAAUAUUUAUAGACCAAUGAAGAUGCCAUUAAUUGGAGGAGAAAAAUAAUUUUUCACAUUUAUUGAUGAUUUUUUAAAAGGUAUGGAUUUACAUUCUUAAAGCCAAGAGUGACUGUUUUUUAAGGAUUUAAGGAAUUUAAGGCCCUUGUAAAAAAGCAAUGUGAGUGCAAGAUCAAAAUAUUGUAUAUAGACAAUAGAGGUGAAUAUAUGUCAAAAAAAUUUCAUGAAUUUUUAAAGAUCCAAGGCAUUGGAAGACAAACCUCUAUUCCUUAUAUUUUACAAUAAAAUAGAAUUGUUAAAAGAAUAAAUUGUACCAUUGUAGAGAUGAUAAGGAAUAUGCUUCAAGUACAAAAUUUUAGAUAUGAAUAUUGAAUAGAAUCUAUAAUUAUAGUAGUAUAUACAAAGAAUAGGUGUCAUAUUAGUACACUUACAUCAAUGAUUCUAUAAGAAGCUUAGAGUGGCAAAAAAUCUUGUAUUUUAGACAUAAAGAUUUUUGAAUGCAUUACUUAUAUAAAAAUACUAGAUUUUAUGAGGUCCAAACUUGAUAUAAAAAGUAUAAAAUAUUUAUUUUUUGGAUAUUAUGAAAGUACCAAGAUAUAUAGGCUUAUGUGUUUAGAAACCAAGAACAUCAUCAAGAGUCAUGAUGUAGAAUUUUUGGUGCAUAAUAGUACUCAUGAGCACUUAGAGAUGUAUUCAAAUGAGAGUAAUUGUGUAUUUGUGGAUAUAUUUUUAAUUUUGGCAAAAAAAAAAGAAGAAGAUGAUAACAAUGAAGAUGGUAAAGACAUAAGUGAAGAUGAAGAGCCAAAGAAGGUAGAUCAAAGUGUGUCUACAAUUGAUAGAACCAAUAGUAAAGACAAUGAAGAUGUUAAAAAUGAUGAUGAUGAGGAGUAUCAAUCAUUAAUUGUAAAGAAAUAAGCUUUAAGAAAGAAGAAGGUUGCAAGAGACCUUGAAGUGGAAGAGAGUGAAUCUUCAUCAAAUGAAAGGAGAUAUCUUUUGAAAGAUUAAAAAAAAAAAAAAAAAAAAAAAAAAAAAAACUUCGUGGUUGGUGGAUGAAUCACAUCUUUCUUCAAAUAAGUGAAAAACAUGUCAAUAUUUCACUCUUUGCUAAUUCAUUGAAUUUUUUUGAUGCAAUAAAAUCCAUGAAUGCUAUGAAGUAGGAAAAUGCUAUGGAAGAAUAAUAAAAAUCACUCAUCGAUAAUAAAACAUGAAAGAUGAUUCAACUUCCACCAAAUCAAUCUUUAAUUAAUUAUGAGUAGGUAUUUAGAACCAAGAAGGAUAUAAUGGAUAAUAUUCUGAGAUACAAGGCUAAAUUGGUUGCCAAAGGCUACUCACAAGUUAUUAGUAUUGAUUUUAAUGAGAUAUUUGCUCCCAUGGUGAAAUUCAACACUAUUAAAACCAUUGUGGCAAUUGGAGCAGUAAUGGACUUAGAAAUGCAUCAAAUGGAUGUGAAAACGGCUUUCUUAAAUAGAAAAUUAGAAGAAAUCUAUAUAGAUCAAUCUCAAGGAUUUAUUAAAGAUGGUAAACAACAUGUUUUUUGUAAAUUGAAGAAAUCUUUGUAUAGGCUUAAGCAAUCACCAAGGACAUAAUAUCAACAAAUUGACACAUUCUUCUUAAAUGAAGGAUUUGAAAGAAGUAAAGCUUAUUAUUUCAUAUAUAUGAUGUAAUUAAGUAAAUUCAUAUUAAUUGUCAUUCUCUAUGCUGAUGAUUUGAUCAUCUUAACAAAUACAUUAAAAAUGAUGGAUUGAUUGAAGAUAAAGUUAGAAAUGGAAUAUGAGAUGAGAGAUUUGGAAGAGCUUCAUUAUUUUUUAGGAGUGGAGUUUGUGAGAAAUCAUGCUAAAAAGACCAUUAUAAUGAGUCAAAGUAAGUAUAUUAAAGAAAUAUUGAAAUGAUUCAACAUAAAAGAAUGUAAGCCUAUAAGUACAUCUUUGGAGGUAAAUUUAAAGUUGAUGAAGCUCAAAAAUGAAGAAUUUGCUAAAAUUAAAGAUCAAAUAUGAGGUAUUUCAUAUAAGGCAAUAGUGGACUCACUUAUAUAUGCAAUGGUUGGUACAAGGUUGGAUCUUGCAUAUGCAAAAAGUAUUAUGAACCAACACAUAUCAAAGGCUGAAUCAAUCCAUUGAAAAACCAUCAAAAAGAUCAUGAGGUACUUAAAAGGCACUUUGUAUUUCAAAUUGUGCCUUGGAAGUGAUAACAUUACUUUAUAUGGUUAUUAUAAUGCUGAUUGGAUUAGAAAUACAAAUGAUAGAAGAUUAACAAAGGAAUAUAUGUUCUUUGUUGGAGUGGGAGCUAUCUCAUGGAAUUAAAAGAAAUAACUCUUAAUUGCAAGAUCGACAAUGGAUGCCAAGUACAUGGUAGCAAGUCAUGAUGCAAUAGAAGUAAUAUAGCUAAGAUAACUUUAAGAAGACAUUGGAGUAGUAUAAAUGGAAUCAACUUCAAUAGAGUAUGACAAUCAAGGAUGUCUUGCAUUUGCAAAGAAUCCAAAGCAUGAUUCAAGGAUUAAGAACAUUAACAUUCAAUAUCACUUUAUAAAAGAGAAGAUUGAAAUGGGAGUGAUUGAUAUGAAGUAUUGUAUAAUAGAAGACAUGCUUAUUGAUUUGUUAAAAAGCGCAUUAGUAAAAAAUAGGCAUCACAUAUUGACUAAGGCAUUAGGAUUAAAAGCCUUUAACCAAUAGCAAAAUAGGAGUGUUAAAAUAAAUAAGUAAAUAAAAAAAUAUGAUAAGUUACAUUGUAGAAGAUAUUACUUUAAAUAAGUUGCCAUUGAUUAAAGGGUUGGCUCUUAGUAUAUAAGAAGGCCAAGGAAUAAAGUAGAUGAACGGAUAAAAGAACUUAAGAAUAUAAAAAAUAUGCUAAAGUCAUAUUUUUAUUGUAGAUAAGAUAACAAAAGAUAGUCUUAGUAAAAUAUUUGAUGGAUGUAUUUAACAAAUGAUAGAAGUUGUCCAUUAGAGCAACAGCUACUUCCUAUAAAUAAUAGAUGUUGGAAGUAAGAAAUAUCUUAUUUCAUACUCUCUUUGAGAGCAAUAUUACUGAUGCUAUGUGUUGUUGACUUCAAAGUUCUUUUUCUUUAAUAACUUUUUAAUCAAUAAAAUAUAUCCUAAUGAUUUAAAUAUAUAUAUAUAUAUAUAUAUAUAUAUUCAAAGUUUGAUAAAUUAUUCAAAGUAAAUAUAAAUUUAAAAAAUUAUAAAACUAAAAGUAUGCAAAUAGAAGAAUAUAAUCAAUUAAUUCAAAAAAUAAUAAAUCCUAUUAAAACCAAUCAAAGCAAUUUACUUAUAAAACAAAAUUAUAUGCAAUAGAAAAUUUUAUAUAUAACUUCUAAGGUCUUUAAUUUUAUAAUAUAUAAAAUGAAAAUAAAAAUAUUAUAAAUUAUAAAUAAAAUCAUAAAUAAUAAAUAACUUAUAUAUUAAAUAAUUCAAAUAUAAAACAUUAAAUAAUUCAAAUAUAAAAUAUUAUAUAAUUUAUAAAAAGAUGAUUAAAACUAAUAUAUUAUAUUUAAAAAGAGAUAUAAUAUUUAGAAGUAAUAUUUUUAACUUGUAAUUAAGAUAUUAUUUGAUAAUUGAUCAUUUAGAUAGAAUGAAUAAAUCACUAAUACAGAUCAAUUCAUUAUAAAAAAAAAUAUCAAAAAUUCAAAAUAUUUAUUAAUUAAAAUGAUUACAAAUAUUGAUGUAAAAAAAUAUGUAACUUUAAAUGAUAUAAUAAUAUAAGAUAAAAUUAAAUGUAGAUUAUUAUUUAUUUUUUGUAAUAAAAAUUUUAAGAUUAAAUUAAAAGAACUAGUUCUUAAAAUAAUUAUAACACUUUUUCAUGGGAGUCAAGCUAAAUAUUAAAAUUACUUAUAAAAUAAAUUUUAGUUAAAUUAUGUAAUAUCAUGUUAAUAAAUACUAGCCAUCUUUUUUUUUUUUUAAUCUUUUCAUUAGGAAAAUAACUAUAAAAUCAAUUACUUAAAAAAAUCCACAACAUUUUUUAAAAAAUAAUCAAAAUUAAUAUAAAAACUAUAAUGAAAAAUAAAUAAAUAAAUAAAUAAAUAAAUAAAUAAAUAUUUAAAUUUCCAUAAUUGAUAAUUAUAUACAAAUAAUUUUUCAUUUAAGAAUAGAUAUAAUAUCUUUUGUAUACGAAAGAAGUAACCACAAAACAUUUUAUGUUCAUGAUGGAAACUUAAGAAAGCUUUUAUAUAAAUAUAAAUUUUUUAAAAAUUAAUUUGUUUUAGAAAUUAAAGCUCAAAAGUCAUAUAAGAAUUGGAAGAAUGAUUAAUAUAAAAAAAUAAGUGUUAUAAAAAAAAGAAUCAAGACACACAUCAAAACUAGUGAUAUGAAAAUAAUAUAUUUUCUAAAAAAUAGAAAAUGAAUUAAUUUAAAAAUAAAUUAAUAAAUUAACAUGGUUAUAUAAAUGAAUUAAUUUAAAAAGAAUACAAAAAAAGAAUAUAAAAAGAAGAAGCUAGAGAAAAGAUGCAAUUAAUGCAGAUUCAAAAAGCAUUAAUAAUUUUAGAAAAUUGAUUGUUAAAUAAAUAAAUAUAUAUGUAUAUAUAUAUAUAUAUAACAUAAUAUCAAUAAUAAAUUUUUUUGACAAAAAUGCAUAAAUACAUAUAAUUUUACUCACUUUGGAUAAUAUAUUUUUAAAUUAAUUAAUUAAUUAAUUAAAUUUAUUUGAUUUAUUUCUUUUUUAAAAUAUAUUUAGACCAAUUUCAACUCCUUAAGAAUGUCAUGGACAUACAUAUUUAUCUUGAUAAUUAUCUAGCUAAUAAGAAUAGAUAGAAGUAAGUCAAAGUAGAUAAAUAUGAUAAUAUCUUGUAGAUAGCUUCUUAGAAGUUUCAUAGACAUUGCUUUUCUUUUAUACAUGCCUAUAAGUGAUUAGUAGGUUGAAAACUUGGCCAACAAGGAGGCCAAAUGUCGACAUGUUGACCGCUUAUAGUAUAAAUUGGACAUAUGGCACACACCUAGGAAACUUGCUUUACAAAUUAGACAUGUGUCCUACAAGUUGGAUGUUUAUUAGAGGUCCUAUAGCAUGUCGCCGCAUAGUUUUUAGUUAAGUAGUAUAUAUAGAGGCAAGAGUGAGGCCUUCUUCAAUCUUGUCAAUUCCUUUCUUGCUUUUAGUGUAGCUUCAAGAAUCUUAUGUUUUCUAGUCUUUGGCAAUAGCCAUUCUAGUUCUUCUUUGAAUAUACAUAUUUUCUUCUAUUUUGUUACUUUUCUUUUUAUACAAAUUCUAUGAGUUUAUGUAUCUUCUUUUAGUUUGUGUCUUUGACAAAUUAAUAAGAGUCUACAUACAAUAUUAGAGUUUUGUCCUUUCUUCAUUAAAAGUAGAUUAUUCCUUUUUUUUUGAUAAGAUAUAAGCAUAUUAGAAGUUGCGGAUUACUGUCUUUUAAAUUGAUAUUAUUUUUAGAAUUUUUUUUCAUGAUUCUUGAAUAUUAUAUUCUAUAAGUAUAGACACAUUUUUUUUUUAUUGUACUAGCAUGGCAGAGCUUCCUAAAAUGAAGAAUGUAAUGGUUGAAAUGCAAAAGCAAAUGAGAGAAUUAAUGCUUGAAAUACAUCAAUUCAAUCUACCACCACAAGAAGCAAUAAGAUUAUCAAGCAAUGAAGAUAUAGAGAUGAUUGGAGUUACUUCAACAUCUACACUAAGUCAUACUACUACUCUUACAACAGAACAUCAUUUAAGUUUCAAGAAACCAAAAAUUAGAUUACUUGAAAAGUUUGAUGGCAUAAGAUCUAAGUUUUGAGGAUUCAUCAAUCAGGUACAAUUGAUAAUUGAACUACAACCUCGAAGUUAUCUAACUCAAAGAUCACAAGUCAAGUUUAUUAAAGCACUACUUUCAAGUUAUGUUUUAUCAUGAUUUUCAUCAUUUCUUGAAUGACAUGAUGCAAUAUUGCAUAAUUUGAAAGUAUUAGUAGCAGAGUUUUGAUCUAUGUAUAGAGAACAUGAUGCAAAUUAUAUUGCAACUAACAAGAUUUGUAUCUUACGACAAGACAAUCAAUUAGUGAUAUUAUAUGCUUCAUAAUUUUGAUAAUUAGCAACAGAUAUCAAGUAGGAUGAUGCAACACUCAUCAACUAAUUUCUCUAUGGAUUAUAAUAUGAAGUAAAGAAAUUGAUGCUUAAAUUAGUUGAUCCUCAAAUCUUGAGUCAAGUAAUUAAUUUUACUCUGAAAUAUGAUAAUUGGCUUUUUGAAUUUCGAUCUGAGAAUUGCAUAAGAAAGCCUCAAGAUUAUUAUAAUUUAAUGACGACACCAAUAAUUCUUAAAUCUAAAAAUUUGGAAGUAGAAGACAUGCAAAUUAAUACAAUACAUUUUAAAUCUCUUACUGAAUAAGAAAAGAUUCAUCGUUGUCAAAAAGGACGAUAUUUAUAUUGUGAAAAAGCUAAGCAUACUACUCAAUAUUAUCUAAAGAAAUAAAGCAACUAUAAAAUAAAGAGUACUGCUAUCAAAGAUGAAAACAUGUGAGAAAAUGAAUUUGUACAACUACAAUAGGAACUAUGCAGUUGGAAUCUUGUACAAUUUCUAAUAAAGGUCCUAUUCUUUCCUCAAAACCCUCUCCUUGUUUUAUAAUAGAUGUGUAUUUAGGAUCUAAUAACCACAAAGCCUCUAUUUUAAUAGAUUGAGGAGCCUCACCUUGUUUUUUAGAUGAAGAAUUUAUAAAAAGUCAUAAUAUACACUUAGUACAAAAAAUUAAACCCAUACACGUAGAAAUCAUAGACAAUCGUUUAUUAUCUUUUAAAGAUAUUACUCAUGAAAUACUUUCUAUAGAUGUAAUAAUAAAUGGUCAUAAUAGUCAUGUAAUUUUUAAUAUAAUUAGAUCUCCUUCUAAUCCAAUCAUUUUAGGUUUAUCGUGGCUAAAAAAAUAUAAUCUUGUGAUAGAUUAGAUUUCUUGUAAACUUGACUUUUUUUCAAACACCAUUAAGUUUUUUUCUAAUCCAAUAAAAAGCCAUGAAUCUAGUAUAGCCAAACAUGUACUUAUAUAUGCAAAAGCUUUUUUAGAUGCUAUAAAAGAAGGAUCAUCUUUUUUUAUUUAUGCCACACCCAUUUCAAAUAAUGGAAAGAUUUCAAGUGAAAUUCCAAGUCAAUAUUAAGAUUUUAAAGAUAUUUUCGAGAAGAAGAAUGCAGAUAUUAUCUUGAAGCAUCAUCCAUAUGAUUGCUGAAUCAAUCUUAAAGAAAGAACUUAGUCGCCAUUUGGUCCAAUCUAUAAUUUAUCACAAAAUGAGUUACUUGAACUCAAGAGGUAUAUUGAUGAGAACUUGGCCAAGAAUUUCAUACGCCAUUGAAAAUCUCUUACAAGAGCUCUUAACUUAUUUAUAAAGAAAAAAGAUAGUUCAAUUCAAAUAUGUAUGGAUUAUCGAGGAUUCAACUAGAUUACCAUCAAGAAUAGAUAUCCUUUGUUUUUGAUAUCUGAACUUCUUGAUCAAUUAAAUCAAGCUAAGAUCUAUACAAAAAUAGAUCUACAAAGAGCGUAUAAUUUGAUACACAUUAAAAAAAGAGAUGAAUAGAAGAUUACAUUUCGAACAAAGUAUGGACACUUUGAAUAUAAUGUCAUGCCUUUUAGACUCACAAAUGCACCAAUUGCUUUUCAAUAUCUUAUGAAUGAUGUUUUUUGUGACUUUCUAGAUGAUUUGGUUGUCUAUUACUUAGAUGACAUUUUAAUCUACUUUAAGAAUGCAGAAGAAUAUGAAGUUCAUGUUUGUCAUGUAUUACAAAAACUUAGAGAUGCAAGAUUAUAUACCAAGAUGAAAAGUGUAUAUUCCACACUAUUCAAGUUGAAACAUCAUUUCAAACAAUGGUCUAAUGAUGGAUCCUAAAAAAAUUCACACAAUCAUAGAUUAGAAGAUUCCAAAAACAAUAAGUGAUGUAUAAUGUUUUUUGGGAUUUGCCCAUUACUAUCAGAUCUUCAUCAAGAACUUUUCUUAAGUUGCAACGCUACUUACACACUUAACUUAUAAGAACAAGCUUGAGUAGAAUAAAGAAGUAAAAGCAUCAUUUUAAGCUUUGAAGAAAGUUUUUACUUUUGCACCAAUCUUAUAUUACGUUGACUUCUCCAAAGAAUUUUUUAUGGAAAAAAAUGCAUCUAAUUUUGCCUUAAAUGUAGUCUUUUCAUAAAUAGGAUUAGAUGACAAACUUCAUCUAAUAGCUUUUCAUUCAAAAAAAAUUUCAGCAGUCAAGAUUAAUUAUGAGAUCCACGAUAAAGAACUUCUUGCAAUUGUGGAUUCUUUUCAAGAAUGGCACCAUUAUUUAGAAGGUGCUUCAAGUCCAAUCACUAUAUAUAUGGAUCACAAGAACCUUGAGUAUUUCAUGUUAGUACAUAUUUUGAAUCGUCAUAAUUCUCAUUGGAGCAUGUCUUUGUCAAGAUUCGAGUUCAAUAUCACUUAUUGGCCAAGAAAACAAUAAGAUUUGUCUAAUGUCUUUUCUAAAUGUUCUUAUCUUACAUCAAAAGAAGGAAAAUCAACUUUUGAUCAACAAAAGAUAAUUUUACUGAAGCUUGAAUAAUUUCAUCUCGGAGUAAUGAAAUCAAUAUUAACUAUUGAUUUGACUUUUUUCAAGCAGAUCCAAGCAAGUAUGUUCUCAGAGUUUUUUAUUCAUGAUAUUAAAAACUAUUCCUCUAAGUCUCAAGAUACUUUUGAGUUUGAAUUUAAAGAGAACCUACUCUAUUUCAAAGGAUACUUAUAUAUUCCGGAAGGAGAAGCAUGAUUACGUGCUCUUGAAGCUCAUCACAAUUUCUCUGCAGUAAGACAUUUUGGAUAUAAUAAGACUUUGGAGCUUAUAUCUAAAGAUUUUUAGUAGUUUCAAAUGUAGAAGGCUAUUAAAGAAUUUUUGUAGAUAUGUGAUAUUUGUUUAAGAUCAAAAACUUCUCGUCAUCGACUUUAUGGACUCCUCCAACCAUUACCUAUACCAAAACAACCAUGGUCUUUUGUCUCUAUAGAUUUUAUCAUGAAUCUUCCAAUUUCAAGUUCAUAUGAUUUCAUAUUUGUGAUUGUAGAUCGUUUCACUAAGAUGGCACAUUUUUUAUCAUGUACAAAAUUUAUCAUAGGUGAAGGAAUAGCUAAAUUCUUCCUUGACAAUAUUUAUCGCUAUUAUAGAUUAUCAAAGGAUAUUAUAUUAGAUAAAAGAAUAUAGUUUUUAUCAAGUUUUUAGAGAAUUCUUUUAAGAUAUUGAAAAUGGAUAUAAAACUAUCUUUGGCUUUCCAUCUUUAAAUUGAUGGACAAACAAAAUGGAUAAAUCAAAUUUUAGAUUAGUAUUUGAGGUGUACCAUCAACUAUCAACAAGAUGAUUGAACAAUUCUUUUGCCAUUGGUAAAGUUUGCUUACAAUAAUUUGAUACAUUCUUGUACUCAAGAAACAUCUUUCUUUGCCAAUUACGGUUAUCAUCCACGAUUUGACACUUUUGACUUUUCAAAAGUUAAUAAUCUUGCAACAAAAGAUGUGGCAAAUUGAUUGUCAGAGCUAUAUGCAAUAAUGAAGGUACAAUUAAAAGAAUCUCAAGCAUGAUAAAAAAUCAAUGCAGAUAUCUAUUGCAAGGAACAACCUCAAUUUCAUGUGGAAGAUAAAGUAUGGUUACUUCAUCGUAAUAUUAAAACUAUUUGUCCUUGUGACAAGCUAAAUUAUCGUAGGCUUGGACCAUUUCCCAUUUGUCAAUAGAUCAAUCUAAUUGCUUAUCGAUUACAUCUACCAAACUCUAUGAAAAUCCAUCUUGUAUUCUAUGUAUCUUUACUUGAACUAUACAAGACAAUGGAUAUAUAAGGAAGGAGACAAAUGCCACCACUUUCUAUAGAAGUAGACAAUAAUGAAGAAUUUGAGGUGGAAGAAGUCUUAGAUUCAAGGCGGUACCAAAAUAGGUUAAAAUAUCUAGUACAUUGGCAUGGAUAUGACAUUAAUGAAUGCAUAUGGGAGCCAUCCAGGAAUCUAGGAAAUGCAUCAACUAAAGUUAAAGCUUUUCAUCAACGACAUCCAUCAAAACCAACAUGAAGAGUCAAGAAAUUCUUUGCUAUAAAGCAAAGCAAGCCCAAUGGAGAUUUCAUUCUAUCUUGUAUCAUUGUUUCUUUAGAUUUUUUAAUGCUUAGGAGAUGGAGAACCAACAACUAGCAGAUUCAGCUCAAGAGCUAUCAUUUACUGAGCUACAUGACGAGACAUUACGAUUAUCACAACCUUCAAGAUUACAAAAUUGAAAUGAAGAUCUUUAAGAACGAUAUAUUUUUUCUUGAAUAGAUGGUGAAAUAUAACGCGUUUGGUACCACAACCUUAGAAAGCAUCCCUGUUGUUUAGUAAUACUUUUGGAAGUAUGAACUACUCUUGAUGGUAUUACUAAUGUUUUGUUUGAACGAAGUUAUGAAGGCCUCAAUAAUGAUCAAAUAUUAGGGUGAUCUUCUCGCCCUAGUAUGGGACAUUAUUGAUGGUUGAAGGGACCUAUCAACUACCUUCAAAGGAAACAAAGAUCACAAUAUGUGACAAAUACAAUUCGAUGCAUCUUAGACUUCAUCAACAUACAAUGACAGCUCCUUAUGGAACUCGUCCCUAGAAAGGGGGAUAAUGUCACAAAUAUACAUAUUUAUCUUGAUAAUUAUCUAAAUAAGAAGAAUAUGUAGAAGUAAGUCAAAGUAGAUAAAUAUGAUAAUAUCUUGUAGAUAGCUUCUUAGAAGCUUCAUAGAUACUGCUUUGUCUUUAUACAUGUCUAUAAGUGAUUAGUAGGUUGAAAACUUGGCCAACAAAGAAGCCAAGUAUCCACAUGUUGACCACUUUUAGUACAAGUUGGACAUAUGGCACACACCUAGGAAACUUGCUUUGCAAAUUAGACAUGUGUUUUAUAAGUUGAACAUGUAUUAGAUGUCCUAUAGCAUGUCGCCACAUAGUUUUUAGUUAAGUAGUAUAUAUAGAGGCAAGAGUGAGGCCUUCUUCACUCUUGUCAACUCCUUUCUUGCUUUUAGUCUAGUUUCAAGAAUCUUAUGUUUUCUAGACUUUGGCAAUAGUCAUUCUAGUUCUUCCUUGAAUAUACAUAUUUUCUUCUAUUUUGUCACUUUCUUUUUGAUACAAAUUCCAUGAGUUUAUGUAUCUUCUUCCAAUUUCUGUCCUUGACAAAGAAUCCCAUGAAUGUAUUCUUUUUUAGAUUAUACUAUUGUUUUAUAUUUCUACUAUAAAAUAUUGGUUAGGCUUUAAAUAGUUUUCACUAUUCCAAAAUAAUAACAUUACUACUAUCAUUUAAUGCAAGUGUAUUUUGUACCAAUUUCCUUAGUUAGAUGGAAGAUACCAGCCCAUGUUUUACUUAAUUGUGAAAAAAAUCAGAAUAUUAGCUCAAGCUCCCGAACGCACGUGCAGCAGAACAACAACCGGUGACCCCUCCAACUCAGAAAGGCACAGCCACUGUUGGUAACUGGGAAUUGCCGGUAAACUCAGGAGAUUGAAGCGUAAACCCCGCUUGGGGCUUUUAGGUCGUCCUAAACUCUCACUUCACCUCCGCGGACUAGCAGGUUCGUCUCGCAAUCGGUGCGAUUGCUUCCCUGCCCCAUUCAUUGUGUGCGGCAUCGGGUCCUUCCAUCUUUCUCCUCACUUUCCCAACUUCAUUUCGAGCAUUUAUUUGUAGCUUUUGGUGGUUUGUGGAGGUAAUUAGAGAUUGCUGACAAGUAGAAAGCGUCGAAACUGAAGGGACUUUAAUUUUAGGUUCGUUUGGCGUUUUUGCCAUUUUCCAUUGUAGCUGAGGAUUUCUGGUCUUAAGGUGUUGAAGUGGCCGACAGUUGGUCGUGUUAGGCGUUUGAGUUUGGAGCGGAUUGAAAGAAGGGAGUUCAAUUUGUCGAAUCAGGGUUGGGUUUUGAUUGUGCCGCCUUUUUGCGGCAAUUUUUGCAUUGUUAAUUCGAUCGUCAAUCUUUUUAUGUGAGCGCUUUCUGUGUCUAAAUUUUGUCGUAUUGGUGCAAUCAUGGUUAUUCAUAUUUCGGGGCCAUUGUGUGAUGCGUAGGAUUUUUCUUUUCAAAUCUAGUUCAAGGAGCUGAAUCCGGCUACAAGGAGAUCAAAAUGCAGGCUGUGCGGGCUGCUGUGUUGAAGCGCAUGCGAGUGGGAGUGACCGCACCAUGGGUUCAAGCUCCUGUUGUUACCAAUGCCUCUCGGCUAUUUUCCGCUGAGGCCCACGGGACGUACUUGGACAAGCACGUCGUUACCGACCGCGUUUUGAGUGUUGUCAAGAAAAUGCAGAAAGUGGAUAGCGCUAAGGUAUCGUCUCGUGAUCAGAGGGUCAACUGCUUUCAUAUGGAAUGAUAUUGAAUACACGUGAAGAAAACUCACGUGCUUUUAUAAUUCUUGUGAAAUCUUAUGUGGUAUGACAUUAUUAUGCCUUUAGGGUAGGAAGCUCGAAACCAAGAAUUUGUCCACCAACAAUUCUCUUCAGCUGUGUCCUCUUGGCUGCCACUGGUGGUGUGACUCCAGAGCAUGACCAGUUUGUAGUGAUCAUCGCUCGUGACGUCAUUUUUCUAUAUGGCUCGAGAUGUGGGAUUGAAACUAUGAGCAACGGUCUCCUAGUACUGUGUUGAAGAAUUUUUUUAAUGUUUCUCACACCAAAACCUAAUUACCACUAUACGUAUUAUAAAGCGGCUAAGCAAUAUCAUUGUGUGUUUGGAAUAGGUGACUCCCAAUGCACAUUUUCAAAACGAUUUGGGACUCGACAGCUUGGACACUGUAGAGGUUGUCAUGGCCUUUGAAGAGGAAUUUGCAAUUGAGAUCCCCGAUGCUGAUGCGGACAAGAUCACUUCGUGUGCCGAUGCUAUUGAGUACAUUGCUUCUCAACCCAGAGCAAAGUAAAGAAAUGGAUUAAAGUUUUGGUUUUACCCAGGCAAUUUGUGAAUUGCAAUGAAACUUGUGGAGGUCCUCCUGGUUGGGUAGGAUUUUCGUGUUCUGUUAUUCUUCGGUGUUGAGGAUAUUACAUGCCAAUCUUUCUAGACUUAAUGUAAGUGACAACUUCACUUUCCCCAAUAUCUCUCAUCAUGGUGAUAAUAAUACAGCGGUCUUCAUUGCAAUUAGCGAGCCAAUGUACUUGCAACUUUUUCAGUGCUUGGAUUAUAUCUUAAAAAAUUCAAGCGGCUGGACGUGUGCGUCCUAAUCGGUUGGCAAUGUACUGUCGAUUGAAGUACCGCGUAUUUAUCCAAUCAACGCUAGAUGUAUUUGAAAAGGAGUCUAUUUCGAAAAAUUCCGUCUGCUUUACAGUGAUGAGAGGUACUGAUAGAGUGGAUUGUAUGUUAAAGUAGAACAAUGUUCCAACACCAAACAAGUACACAGUUUGAGAUUGGUGAUGUUCAAACAGACCUACACACAUUAAUCGAAGUGCAAGCGAUGUCGGAAGUGUCCUGAUCAAAGAUGAAAAAUAUAGUCUAUUCCACUUUCAAUAUUUGCAGGGGACUUACCACUAACACCGAGCGAUGCCAACGACUAUUCGUACAAAUGAGCAGCGAAAAAAAUAUCACAUUCCACUUCCGAAACUCGUUCAACGCCGGACUAUGAGCCUCCCUUCCAUCCUAAUCCCACGCAAUGUCAAUUACCACUAGCAAUUUACACAACCUUCAAGCGAAAAUCAACCUAUACACAAACCAUAACAGCUAUAGCUCCUUCCUUUACCAUAAUCACUAAUAAUAUGUCAUCUUGCUGACAUCUAGCUUUCAGUUACAGUAAUGUCCAAAGUCCCAGUCUUCAGUCAUAUCUCAAACCCCAUCUUAUUUCAGCAUGGCCAUCAUCACCUUCACCUGCACUCUGAUAUGUUAAUGCGUGCAUGUGUACUUUUGUAUAGAGUGCAGUAAAUCACACAUUCUGUAAGAGACCUUCACAAAUAUGGAACAAAACUGAUGUCGUACAGACUUUUACUACCUAAAUUGAUUACACUCUUCAUAGUAUAGUACACUUAAUAGGUUCACAAACCAUCAUCAUGAAAGUUUGAGGUUGAGCUCUGAGAACGUCCAGUGUUAUAGACAUAGCAAGGAGUUGCACCACACACUUUCAAGUUGAAUUUUAGUUAUAGGCAACACUAGGAAACUAAUAGAAGGUAUAUCUAACAUCUAUGAAUGAUAAAUUUGAAAGUCAAGACUAAUGUUGGGAGCUAAAUUAAAGUUUGAAACUUUUGAAGUUAGCAUUAGGAUUAAUAUAGAAAUUAAUGCAAAGAGUAAUCAUUGCAGACUUAAAACAUGAGGGACAUAGAUCUAUGAGCAUAGAGACGAUAUUGGCUUAACAUACAAAAAUUGAAGAAACAAAAAUGAUCCUUUUGUAUUGCAAGGCAUAAAAAAAAAAAAACACAAAAACACAAAAAAACUCAAAACACAAAACACAAAAACACAAAAAACAAGAACAAAAACAAAAAAAACACACAAAUAAUUCUAUCUCACAAAACAAGCACGGAGAGAAAACUGUUCCAAGGAUAUGAUAGAAGUUACAUCAAAUACACUAAGCUUAUAGAAUUAACAACGGUGGAGAUUGAUAACCCUCUGGAAUGUGUCAAAAUUGAAUUUCUAUUUAAUUGUGUUGUAAUUGUAGGUUUUGCAGAAAGUAACCAAACUCCUCCAAGCAUUGAUGCAUGCCUUGCUAAAUUAGAAAAGUAUUUAAGAAAAACAAUUUAGAAAAAAAAUUGGAAAAAACCUCUAGAAAACUUAUAUUAAUUAACAUUUGGGCAUAAGUGAUAAAAACUUUGAAAAUGCCAUUACUUACAGUGUAACAAUAGAGUGCAAAAGUGUAGUAUAUAGAAAUCAUAAUAGGAAGAAGAUUUCAUGUAAGAGAACUAAAAUUUAGGACAAUUCUCAUACUAUUAAUUAAAUACACUGCCUAUAACUACAAUUAAACCUAGCACUUGUAAUUGCACUCCCCUAGCAUAUACGAAAAAUUACCAAAGUCAAUUAACUAAUGAAUCAUGGCAAGAAAUACAAAGAGAUUUAAAAUUGAAUUUUUUGGAUUUUUAAAAUUCUAAAUACAAUAAAAAUUUCAUCAAGAUACUUAACGAUAUUGUAUAAUGCAAUGACAUAUGAAAACAAUAAAAGACCCACUUAAACCCAACGUCCAAAAUAAACCAGGAAAUUCAUACCCAACCUUUACAAAUAAACAAUUGUGAAGUGUGUUCCUUUUCAGUAAAACUAAAACUAAAAUAACCAAAUUCAAUUUUGAGAAUAACCACGAGGUUAAUUUAACUUCAGGUUUGUUCCGAAGAAAUUUUACACUCAAAUAACGUGUCCCAAAUGAAAUAACACUUCAAAUUUGUCAGAUAUCAAACAUAACUAAAUACUUGGAAUACUUCCAUCAAAACGCUUCUCACUUCUUCCAAAGGAUGGAAGUGGAUUCAACUCAUACACACCAAAAUAUGGCCAUUACAUCGAAUUCAUUCAAGAUUUCACUUCUCUAGCAUUCCCAACUUAAUCCACAUAUUUGAGCAAAAAACUUUGUUUCCACGCAAACACCUCAAUAACACGACUACAUAAAAACAGAUAACAAAAAGCAAGAACAAACAAACACAUGCUGUGACGCUGUUUCCUAUUGGUGAAACAUUCCAACCACUUUGUACUUACAAAUUGAUUCUACAAGUGCCUACAGAUGCUUCUGCAUCUACCAUGUGUUUGUAAAAACUUCUCCUACAAUUUUUGUGCAACCAGAUAUUUACUGCAGAAACACGCAAAUUCGGCACUCGUCAGACGAAAAAAAGAAACAAGACGACACGACACGACACCGUGAAUGUCGCAUCCCUGAACUCUGAUUGCAUCAUUCAAACUAUCUCCACAACUACCGUAAUCUGCUCAAUCGCAGCACCCGAUAGCACGUUGCCAAUCAAAGCAUCCAAUAACAUCCCCAUGUCACUCAAAACAGCAUUCCAUAGCACACUCUGAUACACCCCUACCCACCAUGUACUUCCAUCCAACUUCUACGCUAUCAACAUUCGUGCUUUCUGCCACCCCGACCUCACCCGCACCAAAUAACUCAAAUGCUGUCCCCUGCUAACUCAGCAUCACCGCCUCGCAAACCCGAACGCAUCCUCACUUCGUACUCACCGCAACCCCCACUCACUUGCCCCGGCCAUCGCCCACACGAUGCACUCCACUAAGAUUCCCACUCCUGACCACGCCCAACACACCCCACCCAUGCUCACGCCUCCUUGCCUCCCUGCCACAGGAGGACCCCUCCGACCUCCCACCUCGAGCCCAUCCCAUCGCGCCUUCCCACACCCAACGCGCACUCCCGUGCACCAAGACCCGCUCCCUUUCACAUACACCGACCUACUCACCCAACGAUAUCCACCAUUCCGCUAUGCGAUCCACGCUCGUCGGGGCAUUGCUCCAACAUCCUCGCACGUCCUUUCAUCUACUCUCUGCACAUCUCGACCACACACGCUCCACACUAUACCACUCACACCAAAACCGGUGCCGGUCCACGACACACACACACAAACACACACAACCACACAACACAAACCCUCCUCCCACGCACCCACCCACAGUAAAUCGU
rnacentral:lncRNA from 1 species